rnacentral:lncRNA from 1 species
CGCACCCUCAUCUGGCCCAUCUUGCCCAUGGACACGCCGAACUGCUCGAAGAAGUCUCGCUGGCUCCGCGCAAAACGCUCGACGAUGGGCCGGGUGAUGUCGUUGGUGAAGAGGUCCUGAUCGGAGACGAAGAGCCCCUCCCGGUUCACCAGGUCGACAUAGUACUGGUUGUCGAACACGUUGGGCGUGCGCACGUCCAGCACGGUGCGGCGGUCGGUGCCCUUGGCAAGGCACGUCCCCUUCAGUCUGGCGAGGAAGGGGGGGUUGAUGGUGGGGUCGGGGCGCGGGAAGAGGCGGUCCUCGAAGGAGGAGCAGUGCGCCUGCCCGAUGGUGUGGCCGCCGGAGAUUGUGACGAGGUCGGUGGCGUCGAGGCCGAGGGGCCGGAGCAGGGCGAGCAGCGACGGCACGUUCGAGGAGGGCGCCGGCAGGUCAGACAGCACGUCCUGCCGUGAGGCGAAGCGGCGGCUGUCGCGGCGGCCGAGCGGCACGCGGUAGUCGGGCCCUCCAGAGACGACCACGGAGUCGCGGGCGGCGAGCGCGAGGAUGUCGGCACAGGAGACGACGGCGCGGUGGCACUCGCGCUCCAGCCGGUCCCGGAUGUCGUUGACGGCCUUGAAGGCAGAUGGGCGGAGCGUGAGGUUGGGCGGCGCCUGCUGCUCUCCCGGCCCCGUGGCCGAGCCGUCGAGGAGCACGGAGGCGUCGCAGCCCUGCACGAAGCAGUCGUGGAAGUGGAGGCGGAGGAGGCCCGCGGCGAGUCCGAUGUCCUUACGAACGGCGUCCUGGACGAAGCCCCGCACGAUGGACUCCGCCCGCGGGCAGGUCCGCCGGUAGAAGUCGAACGACAGGCCACGUGCCACCGGAGGCUCGGCCGAAGAAGCCCCAUGCCCAAGCGAGCUGGCCACUACCACAGCCACCGCCACUACCACUGCUGCUAGCGGAGGAGCACGAGCCAUCUCUCCUCUCCCUGUGUGUGUGAGUGUCACAGCAGCUGCGUUUGCCUGGACUGCUCUGCUGUGCUACGAUUUUUGUCCACACUGCUGAUCAGGACAUCAAUUUGUAGGCAGGAUUGAAGUGUAGCACACCACCUGAUAACUCAUCGUACAAGGAUCAACAAGUAGUUCCAACUAAAUAAAGUGAAACCAGGUAGCUAGAUUCCAGAGUCGAGGCUCAACCUCUUGUCUAAGGAUUGGAACAGGUGACAUGGCAUUGCCAAGACGUCAAUCCGCCAUGUCUGUCGGUUGCUUACUACGCACGAGGGUCAUCACGCCAUAGAGUAAAUCCAACCGAGACGCUGACACACCUUGCAUGGACAAACAUGCCGAUUUUGAGUGAAAACUCAUGCGCUACGGCUACCCACGGCCGGCACCUCCAUCUAUAGACGGAGUUGGUUAUGGGAAAGGCCACGCGUGCCAUCGUAGACAAAUCACAGGGUGCUUGUUUAGAUUCAAGAGAGGGUUGAUUUGGCUAAUGAAAACAAAUCACAGGAGAUCACACAAGAAAAAAAUGCGAGGGAGUAGAGUCGUGUUUUUUGAUCAACCGAGCAUAUUCAUCACGUGUCUGAAGAAAAAAAAUGAUCGACAAUUCGGAAAAUAGUCCAGUAAUGAAACUAUUUACAUUUUCUAAGAAUAUCCCAACUGAAGUUUUACUAAAUCAGCGACACUUAUUUUGGGACACUAUUGAGACUCAUCUCAAACAUGCAGACAUUUACAUCAUGCUCUAAAGGAAGGCAAUGAAUGAACAGAGUUGGUUCCCCUGACGCACUGCACCAUGAUGUGCGGCCACUGGCGUGUACCGUGUACGGAUGCAUGGUCCACAUAUCAGUGCGCUAGGGAGUGUAUCCGGUGCACCGGUGCUUGUGGUGUACCGGUGAACCGGACCUCCUAGCACAUUUUAUAAGGUUUCAAAAAAUAGAAAAAAGUUUAGCACAUUCAAUGUUUGUUCUCUCAAAAUUUUAAAUCAAAAUUCGAAGCAUUGCUAAAAAUGAAAAAUUUGACGUCAAUGAGGCAAUGGGCCAAAUCUAAUGCCCAACUUAUAUUACAUACUAUUUCAGUGUUAAAUUUGUCAUUUUUGUAACUUGAGCAAUAUUUUGAAUUUUGGUUUGAAAUGUUGUGACAACAAUCAUUGAUGUUGUAUGAAUGUGCUCAAGUUUUUUUUCCACAUUUCCCCAAGUGUGCUAACGGAACGUCAGGGGUGCCUCGUCAUGAAUGAACUGCAUUCAUGUGUAGAACCACAAGCACCAGUGCAUUGUAUAUUUUCCCUAGUGGGCUAACGCCACAUCAUGGGAGCCGCAUCCUGAAUGAACUGCCUUCAUGCGAAGUGCAAUAAUAGCUGUCUACUGGACAUCUUUACAUGAAUAACAUCCACGAGCAACCAUCUGCCAAAUGCAUGUGCAAGUAAGGAGUGUUGGGCAAUAAGCCGCGGCGAGCCCGUGAAAGUGCGUUAUAUCGACUAGAGGGGGGCUGAAUAGGCGAUUUUUAUGAAUUCUUCACUGAGGAAUUUGCCAGUGAGGAAAUUCCUUAGCGAAGAACUACUAGCAGCGGAAUAAGUACUCAGAAGUAAGCAUAACAGGAUACAGACAUAGUCAUCAUGAUGAAAUGAAGACAAACAUAGAGUAGAGGAAGCGUAAACACAGGAUAACACAAGAUGAAGACAAACAGACUGAAGAAAUUGAACUGAGGGAAUUGAGAAAGUCUUCAGUCAAAGUCUUCAAACACAGAUAUAAACAAUCACUCAACACAAUAAUGAGGAAAUGAAAUAAUUAAGGAAAUAGAACUAGUAAGGUUGGUGAAGACAAUGAUUUGGUAGACCAGUUCCAAAUGUUGUCUCAGUUGUACGUCUGGUUGGAGCGGCUGAGUAUUUAAACUCGAGGACACACACUCCCAGACACCCAGUCGCUGAGCACGCAGCUUAGGAUACCAAGUCCUCACCGUAUUCUCCUUGAACUAAGGUCAAGCAGACCUCGUCCAAUCACUCGUGGUAAGACUUCAGGCGACUUCCAAACCAUCACAGACUCGGAUGCUCUAGACCAUGACGCCUAACCGUCUGGAAGAAGCACAGUCUUCAAAGGUAACAAGCGUCGGAUCCACGCAGGAUCAAUCCCUUCAGUGAUGCUCAAUCACUUUGGGGUUUUUAGGUGUAUGGGUUUGGGUUUUUCCUCACUCGAUGAUUUUCGCUCAAAGUCCUCGGAGGAUGGGUUGCUCUCAAAUGACAAGUGUCAGUUUCUCUCGGAGCAGCCAACCAGCUAGUGGUUGUAGGGGGCGGCUAUUUAUAGCCUAGGGAGAAGACCGACAUGAUAAGACAUAAAUGCCAUUGUCUGAUAUGACCAUUAGGUGGAUAAGAUGUUUUGGGACAGCUAGCGCGCAGCACAGCAACGGUCGGAAAUUUGACUAUCAAAUUCCACAGGGCUAUCAUGUUCCUCACUGUGUAGGCAAUCUGCACUGGCGAAUCCCUAACUCCUCAGUCAGAACAAAUUCCUCAGUGAUCAGAAGAACUUCGUCUCUGUCACUGAAGAAAUUGACUGAACUGUAUGAUAUUUCCAAAGGCUUCACUCGAAGGGUUUGGUAGGUGUAGGAUUUUGAGUUGAGCAUCACAUGGAAAUUUUUACUUAGUAUUUCCUCGACCCCCUUUAACAGUACGGUGUUUCCUAUGACUCAAGAAAGAGAAAAACAAAACUAUGAAAAUGAAAGUCUUCAAGCUUCAUAUUCCUCGCAUGAAUAUCAAGUCUUCACGGAUACACCAAUUUCUUCACUUUCAAAGUCUUCAUGAAAGUCUUCAGGAAUAUCAAAAUCUUCAGUCGAAAAUAUUCAUUUUUAGGGGUCGACUUUCUCUGUAAAUAUCAAACUCCUCAUAGACUUAUAGACCUGUGUACACUCACAAACACAUUAGUCCCUUAACCUAUAAGUAUUCAAUACACCAAAAUCACUAAGGGGCACUAGAUGCACUUACAAUCUCCCCCUUUUUGGUGAUUGAUGACAAUAUAGGUUAAGUUUUCAACGGGGAUAGACAUAUGAAGUGUAAGUACUGAUAUUGAGGAAUUUGAUUGCAAGAUAUAGAAGAACUCCCCCUGAAGAUGUGCAUAGUGAGGAAUUUGCUUUUGAAGCAAUGCAUACUUGAAGAGUUGAAUCAUGGAGAUCUCCCCUAUAUCUUGUAAUUCAUACACGCAUUUAACAUAUAAUAUGAAGAAUUUGAAAUGCAUGAUGAAAUAUGGUGCCUGAUGAAAUUCAGCAUGUGUGCAAUAAUAUUAAUGAGGAACAAGCAUGCAGAAUAACGUAUCAAGAGUAUCAAAGCACAAUGCAUCAAAAGUAUCAGGGCACCAUCGGGUUUAAGAUUACAACUCGAUCCAAUAAAGUUUCAGAAGAACGAGAGUUGUAACUUAGCAAAAACAACGCCCAUAUAAUAGACCCGCUUGAAGACUAACUCAAAUUUCCCCCCUUUGUCAUUGAAUGACCAAAAGGUUCGAAACUAAGGACUAACGCCCCUGAAGAAUAUCAAGUUGAUGGAGGAGCACCAGCGUUGGGGUAGAUAGUCAUAGUAGGGCCUGCCGCAGUGUCGUCCAAAUCUUCAUUUUCAUCAGUGUCGCGUGAUGAAGAAUAGGAGCUGGCCACCAAGGAAGGAACCUUGACCUUCUUGAAUUUCUUCGGUGGAGGUGCAGACCAGUCAAAUUCUUCCUUGAGACCCAUAUUCUUCAGAUCUGCAGCGCUAUAGACAUGUGAUAGAACAGCCCAGGUACGGUUGAAGGUUUCAUGGAGGUAGUAUUGGUUUUUCUUCACUGUAUUGUGUGUUGAUGUCAUGUUGUGAAGAAUUGAACCAAACUGACGCUUGACCCAUUUGUGAUUGUGAUCAACCUUCUGAUGAAGACUGAGGAGUAACUCACGAUCAGUCAUCACCUUGGGAGUUGUGGCUUGAGGAUUUUGCUUGGCGGCAGAGUCAUGUGUGGCAGAGUCAUCAUUGGUGCAGUAGGAUGCAGCCUUGCGAAAUUGACCAUCCAAUGGACGAAUGCCUUCAUCUAUCACAGCAGUUCCUUUGCCUUUGUCAUCAGCUGAGGAAUAUGUCCGUUUGAGGACUUCAAUCGGAGGCAAGUAGCUGGCAUGGUUCAAAGUGUCAGCUUUGUAAUUUAGUGAAGCCCUUGUCCUGAUGAAUCUCAUAAUCCAUGGUGCAUACACUAGUAGAAAAGGGGGCAAUGGUCCAGGCCGGGUCAGCCCAUUAGUCCCGGUUCAAUCCAGAACCGGGACCAAUGGGGGCAUUGGACCCGGUUCAUGAGCCCCGGGGGCCGGCCGGGCCACGUGGGCCAUUGGUCCCGGUUCGGUUGGACCUAUUGGUUCUGGUUGGUGGGACGAACCGGGACCAAUGCGCAUCGCUCCUGGCCCACCACCAUUGGUCCCGGUUGGAGGCUUGAACCGGGACCAAAGGCUGCCCUUUAGUCCCGGUUCGUGGCACGAACCGGGACCAAUUAGUUGCAUAUAUCUACCCGCGAGCAGAGCACUCCCACUGCUCUGUUUUUCGUGGCCGGCGAGGGGAGAGCUUUGUGGUGCUCUAGCUCACCUCCUAUGCUCACCGGUGUUCGAUAGAAUGCCCGAGCCACACUACUUAAGCUUUCUCCUCUCUAAGCUCGACCUCCAAGGUCCAUUUUCCUCAAUAUUUGUCUAGGUUUAGCGGUCCGUCACGUCCCGUCCACGUCUUCACCGCCGUCGAUCGCCCGCGCCGAUCUCGUCGCCGGCACCACCGUGGUGAGCCUCUUGUUCUUAUCUUCUUUCUGAAAGAAAAAAAAAUCUUACUUGUAUAUUUAUAUAGAUACUUCUAUAAUUUUCUUACUUUUAUUAUUGCAUCUUAUAUAGUGUGAUGGUUUUGGUAUCCUCCCCCAUAGGCCCUCGUCCUGUCUAUGAAUCGGAUGUGGUAUAUAUUAUCUUUUCAUAACUAUUGGUUCAUUUAUUGUUUAUGACAAUUAUGCCGACCGACGUGACAUAGAUUUUAUUUAUCUAGGAGGUUGUUAAACCAGAAAUUCCAACCGACCCUAUUGUCGAGAGGUUAAAUUUAGUUGAAGAAGAAAACAAUUUGUUGAAGGAAAAAAUUAGAAAAAUUGAGGAGGAGAAGAUGAUAUUGGAGUUGCAUGUUGCGGAUGUCGUCGAUGAUCACAAGAUCAAGAUGGAUGCAAUGCGCUUGAAGAUUAGAAAGAUUAGAAAAUAUGCCAUUCAAACCGAGGCUUGCUAUCAUUAUGUCGUUGGAUCAGUUGUUACAUUGGUUGCGAUUAUGAUCGCAUUUGUUUUCGCAUUGAAAUGUUUUACAUAGUUUUAGUGUAUGGUUUAAUUAAUUUAGAUGCUCUGCAGAGCUUUAUGUUGUUAGAUGAGAACUAUGUAUGUACUUUGAUUUUAAUGUGAUGAUGAACUUCUAUUAAUUUGGUCACUUAAUUAUCUAUUCAUGAUGUUCUGUAAUGAUUUUUGACACACUUAAUUAUAUAUAAUGCAUGCAGAUGAACCGGCAAUGGAUGUACGGUUCAAGACACACCUCCGAGUACAUUAAGGGCGUGCAUGAUUUUCUCGAAGUGGCUGAGGCAAACAAGCAGAAUGGUUUUAUGUGUUGUCCAUGCCCUAUAUGUGGGAAUACGAAGUCUUACUCUGACCGGAAAAUCCUCCACACCCACCUGCUUUACAAGGGUUUCAUGCCACACUAUAAUGUUUGGACGAGGCACGGAGAAAUAGGGGUUAUGAUGGAAGACGGCGAAGAAGAAGAGUACGAUGAUAACUAUGUGCCCCCUGAAUACGGUGAUGCUACUGAACAUCAAGAGGAACCAGACGAUGUGCACGAUGAUGCUGCAACGGGCGAAGCUGGUGAAGAUCAAGAGGAACCAGACGAUGUGCCCGAUGAUGAUGAUCUCCGCCGGGUCAUUGUCGAUGCAAGGACGCAAUGCGAAAGUCAAAAGGAGAAGCUGAAGUUUGAUCGCAUGUUAGAGGACCACAAAAAAGGGUUGUACCCCAAUUGCGAAGAUGGCAACACAAAGCUCGCUACCGUACUGGAAUUGCUGCAGUGGAAGGCAGAGAAUGCUGUGCCUGACAAAGGAUUUGAGAAGCUACUGAAAAUAUUGAAGAAGAAGCUUCCAAAGGAUAACGAAUUGCCCGACAGUACAUACGCAACAAAGAAGGUCGUAUGCCCUCUAGGAUUGGAGGUGCAGAAGAUACAUGCAUGCCCUAAUGACUGCAUCCUCUUCCGCGAUGCGUACAAGGAUCUGAACGCAUACCCGGUAUGCGGUGCAUUACGGUAUAAGAUCAGACGAGAUGACCCUGGUGAUGUUGACGGCGAGCCCCCCAGGAAGAGGGUUCCUGCAAAGGUGAUGUGGUAUGCUACUAUAAUACCACGGUUGAAACGUCUGUUCAGAAACAUAGAGCAUGCCAAGUUGAUGCGAUGGCACAGUGAGGACCGUAAGAAAGACGGGAAGUUGAGAGCACCUGCUGACGGGUCGCAGUGGAGAACAAUCGAGAGAAAGUACUGGGAUGAGUUUGCAAGUGAGACAAGGAACGUAUGGUUUGCUUUAAGCGCGGAUGGCAUUAAUCCUUUCGGGGAGCAGAGCAGCAAUCACAGCACCUGGCCCGUGACUCUAUGUAUGUAUAACCUUCCUCCUUGGAUGUGCAUGAAGCGGAAGUUCAUUAUGAUGCCAGUUCUCAUCCAAGGCCCUAAGCAACCCGGCAACGACAUUGAUGUGUACCUAAGGCCAUUAGUUGAAGAACUUUUACAGCCGUGGAAUGGAAACGGUGUACGUACGUGGGAUGAGCACAAACAGGAGGAAUUUAACCUAAAGGCGUUCCUGUUCGUGACCAUCAACGAUUGGCCCGCUCUCAGUAACCUUUCAGGACAGACAAACAAGGGAUACCACGCAUGCACGCACUGUUUACUUGACACCGAUAGUAUAUACCUGGCAAGCUGUAGGAAGAAUGUGUACCUGGGCCAUCGUCGAUUUCUUCCGACCAACCAUCAAUGUCGAAAGAAAGGCAAGCAUUUCACAGGCGGAGCAGAUCACCGGAAGAAGCCCGCCAUGCAUACCGGUGAUCACGUACUUGCUAUGGUCAAUGAUUUACACGUAAUCUUUGGAAAGGGUCCUGGCGGACUAGCUGUUCCGAGUGACGCUGGGGGACACGCACCCAUGUGGAAGAAUGAAAUCUAUAUUUUGGGACCUACCCUACUGGAAAGACCUAGAGGUCCGCUCUUUGAUCGAAGUGAUGCACGUGACAAAGAACCUUUGCGUGAACCUGCUAGGCUUCUUGGGCGUGUAUGGGAAGACAAAAGAUACAGCUGAGGCACGGGAGGACCUACAACGUUUGCAUGAAAAAGACGGCAUGCCUCCAAAGCAGUAUGAAGGUCUUGCCAGCUAUGCUCUUACCAAAGAAGAGAAGGAAAUCUUCUUUGAAUGCCUGCUUAGUAUGAAGGUCCCGACUGGCUUCUCGUCUAAUAUAAAAGGAAUAAUAAAUAUGGCAGAGAAAAAGUUUCAGAACCUAAAGUCUCAUGACUGCCACGUGAUUAUGACGCAACUGCUUCCGGUUGCAUUGAGGUGGCUUCUACCGGAAAACAUCCGAUUAGCCAUUGUGAAGCUAUGUGCAUUCCUCAAUGCAAUCUCUCAGAAGGUGAUCGAUCCAGAAAUCAUACCAAGGCUAAGGAGUGAUGUGGUGCAGUGUCUUGUCAGUUUUGAGCUGGUGUUCCCACCAUCCUUCUUCAAUAUCAUGACGCACGUCCUAGUUCAUCCAGUUGACGAGAUUGUCAUUUUGGGCCCCGUAUUUCUACACAAUAUGUACCCCUUUGAGAGGUUCAUGGGAGUCCUAAAGAAAUAUGUCCGUAACCGCUCUAGGCCAGAAGGAAGCAUCUCCAUGGGCCAUCAAACAAAGGAUGCCAUCGGGUUUUGUGUUGACUUCAUUCCUGGCCUUAAGAGGAUAGGUCUCCCUAAAUCGCGGUAUGAGGGGAGACUGACUGGAAAAGGCACGCUUGGAAGGGACUCAAUAAUAUGCAGGGACGGAUAUUCUUGGUCUCAAGCACACUACACAGUUCUACAGAACUCUACCUUGGUGACCCCGUAUGUCGAUGAACACAAGAACAGUCUGCGCUCCAAACACCCGGAGCAGUGCAACGACUGGAUUACAUGUGAACACAUCAGGACUUUCAGCAGUUGGUUGGAAGCACGUAUCAGAGGUGACAACACUGUUUGUGAUGAGCUGUACUUGUUGUCCAGGGGACCAUCUUUGACUGUAUUGAUUUGGAAAGGAUACGAGAUAAACGGGAAUACAUUUUACAUGAUUGACCAAGAUCAAAAGAGCACCAACCAAAACAGCGGUGUCCGCUAUGAUGCAACAACCGAGAGGGGAAAGGACACAUAUUAUGGUUACAUAGUGGAUAUAUGGGAACUUGACUACGGGCAUGAUUUUAAGGUCCCUUUGUUUAAGUGCAAAUGGGUCAAUCUGUCAGGAGGCGGGGUACAGGUAGACCUACAGUACGGAAUGACAACAGUGGAUCUGAAAAAUCUUGGGUACACUGACGAACCGUUCGUCCUAGCCAAUGAUGUGGCACAGGUUAUCUAUGUGAAGGAUAUGUCUACCAGACCGAGAAAGAGAAAAGAUAUGGAAGCGAAUACAUCAUACGAUGAGCCAAAGUGCCACAUAGUUCUUUCAGGAAAAAGGGACAUCGUGGGAGUGAAGGACAAGACAGACAUGUCUGAAGAUUAUGAAAAUUUUCAUGAAAUUCCUCCCUUCAAAGUCAAGGCUGACCCCAGCAUCCUGAUAAACGAUGAAGAUUAUCCAUGGUUACGGCGCAAUAAGCAAAUGACACAAGCGAAGAAAAAGUUAAGACUUUCUCCCGUAACUAUUAUGAUGAUACCAUGCCAACUUUGUAACUGACGAGUAUGAUACCAUUGUCCAUUUUGUACAUGCACAUGCUAUGUGGGUCAAUUUAUGAUACCAUGCCAACUUUCAACUUUUUCAGAGUUCAUUUGAAAUGCUUUAAUGUCUUAUGGUUCGGCCCGCGUAAUAAUUAAAAAUAGCAACAAUAAGUAUUUUGUUGUAAGUAGAAACAAAAUAAAAUCAAUAAAGCAAGAAAGAAAAAAAAAGAAAAAAGGUGUUUUCAAAUUUGAAAACUAAUGGCAGUAACAGAAAGUUUAUAAUUUUCCUAAAACUAAAAGCNNNNNNNNNNNNNNNNNNNNNNNNNNNNNNNNNNNNNNNNNNNNNNNNNNNNNNNNNNNNNNNNNNNNNNNNNNNNNNNNNNNNNNNNNNNNNNNNNNNNNNNNNNNNNNNNNNNNNNNNNNNNNNNNNNNNNNNNNNNNNNNNNNNNNNNNNNNNNNNNNNNNNNNNNNNNNNNNNNNNNNNNNNNNNNNNNNNNNNNNNNNNNNNNNNNNNNNNNNNNNNNNNNNNNNNNNNNNNNNNNNNNNNNNNNNNNNNNNNNNNNNNNNNNNNNNNNNNNNNNNNNNNNNNNNNNNNNNNNNNNNNNNNNNNNNNNNNNNNNNNNNNNNNNNNNNNNNNNNNNNNNNNNNNNNNNNNNNNNNNNNNNNNNNNNNNNNNNNNNNUGAAAACUAAUGGCACUAACAGAAAGUUUAUAAUUUUCCUAAAACUAAAAGCAAAAACAAUUAAAAAAUAAAGCAAAAAACAAAAGAAAAUAAACAAUGCAGAAAACAAAACAAAAAACCGGAAAAAAAUAAAUGUAGCAACAAUAAGUAAAGAAAACAAAAAAAUGCCUCCUACUGGGCCCCCACGGCCUGAAUACGACAUGAAACCCUACUAUGGGCCAGGAUUCAGGCCCGCAGUAGGCCCAGAAGGCCCAUCAGGCAAAGCAAUAGCAAGUAGGCCCGAAAGCCUGCGGUGGAGAGGAGCUCGAGAGGGGUGCAGCAGUGGGACUAAACUUUGGCCCCGAGGCGGGCAGCACAGGGGCCUUUGGUCCCGGUUGGUGGCACCAACCGGUACUAAAGGGGGAGGCAUUAGUCCCGGUUGGUGCCACCAACCGGUACCAAAGGCCACCGGUUCCCGCCCUUUGGGCUGCCGAAAAAGAGGCCUUUGGUCCCGGUUGGUGACACCAACCAGGACUAAAGGGGGAUUAGUCCCGGUUGGUGCCACCAACCGGGACUAAAGGAUUUGCUAUAUAAGCAACACUUAGCAGUUUCCGGCCAAAUCGCCCACUUCUCCCCCGACGACCCCUGCUCCUCCUCGUCGUCGUCGCCGCCCGACGCCCCUGCUCCACCUUGCCGUCGCCGCCGCCCCCUGUGAGCACAGCCUGCUCCCGCGCCCCUCCCGUCNNNNNNNNNNNNNNNNNNNNNNNNNNNNNNNNNNNNNNNNNNNNNNNNNNNNNNNNNNNNNNNNNNNNNNNNNNNNNNNNNNNNNNNNNNNNNNNNNNNNNNNNNNNNNNNNNNNNNNNNNNNNNNNNNNNNNNNNNNNNNNNNNNNNNNNNNNNNNNNNNNNNNNNNNNNNNNNNNNNNNNNNNNNNNNNNNNNNNNNNNNNNNNNNNNNNNNNNNNNNNNNNNNNNNNNNNNNNNNNNNNNNNNNNNNNNNNNNNNNNNNNNNNNNNNNNNNNNNNNNNNNNNNNNNNNNNNNNNNNNNNNNNNNNNNNNNNNNNNNNNNNNNNNNNNNNNNNNNNNNNNNNNNNNNNNNNNNNNNNNNNNNNNNNNNNNNNNNNNNNNNNNNNNNNNNNNNNNNNNNNNNNNNNNNNNNNNNNNNNNNNNNNNNNNNNNNNNNNNNNNNNNNNNNNNNNNNNNNNNNNNNNNNNNNNNNNNNNNNNNNNNNNNNNNNNNNNNNNNNNNNNNNNNNNNNNNNNNNNNNNNNNNNNNNNNNNNNNNNNNNNNNNNNNNNNNNNNNNNNNNNNNNNNUUCUUCCUUCUUCCUUUUUGCUUCCUUUUCCUUAAUUAUUUUCCUUUCUCGUCGUUGUCGCGUCGUUGUCGAUAUAACCCCCUCGAGAUAACUUCGACAUGAGGGCGGUCGAUAUAUAUACCCCCUCUCGACCGUGAUAACUUAUACAACGGCAGCACCUCCCCUCGGCCCUCUCGCUCGACCAAAACUCUCGAGGACACCCAAACCCUAGAGAGAAAACGAUGUUGGUCUCCUACCCCCUCCCGCCGCGCCCCUACCCGAUAAAUUAACUCUCUCGAGGCCACCCAAAUUUACCAAGUUAAAAGAGCGUUGUCGUUGAGGCCACCCCAAACCCUUGAAGCGUUGUUGUGUCGAGGCGACCUCAAACCCUAGAGAAGCAGCGUCGAGGCCACUAACAUGAUUCCUUAUUGUGAUUAGCUAGCUAGUUCUACGUUUGCCACUAAGAAUAUCUUUGGACUGAGCUGAAGGCAAAUUUCACCCUACCGCUAGAGGAGGAUCCGGAGAAUCCAGUUAAAGAAGAUGGCAACCCUAAUGAGGAGGUGGAGGAAAGAGCUGAACCAGUUUGUCGAAAAAAAAGACACCAGAGUUCAUCGGCAAAUAUGAGAAGAUCAAAUAUCACUGGCCCGCAUUUGUGGCCCACAAGACAUCGGAAAAGAGUAAGAAGAUGUCGGAGACAAACAAGAAAAAUGCAGCGAAGAAGAAGCUUCACCAUCGCACGGGGUCAGGUGGCUACCUCAAAUCCCAGCCUAAGUGGUCCAAGGCUGAGCAUGAUCUGCUUGAAAAAGGGAUCGAAUCAGAGAUAAUGUACUGGCCAGACCGUUGCCGGACUUGGUUCUUCGGGGCUGGCGGAACCUUGGACCCUGUAACAGGGUUGUGCCAGUGGACGGACGAGCAACUGGAAAUACCAGUCAAGAACCUUCGACACUAUAUCGAUGCAGCGCAGCGAGGGACGUUCCUUCCAAACAGGGAGAAGGACGAGCUCACAAUGGCCCUUGGGAAUCCUGAGCACCCUGGACGGACACAAGGCACGCCAGGCUCCAUUCCGUGGAAGGUUGGUUUUCCGGACGCAGGGGGUUACAAAACCCACGAGAGGAGGAAGAAACUGGAGCAGGACCAACUGCAAGCGCUGCACGAAAGGGUAAUGGGGCUAGAGGCUCGACAAGAGGAACGAGAAGCAGCAGAUCGCAGCAAACGACCUGCCGAAGCUUCCCCCGAAGCUACCCCGCCAUCUCAGCGGAGAAGUAGCGUAGAUUCCACCCUGCUUCAGCCGGAGCAUGUCUUGACGGCUCCUGCCAACUAUCCCGUGGAUGGUAUCACGGAGUCUCAAAAUUACCACAUUAUGGCGCGAUGGAUGAAUUUGAAGGUCAAGGCGGCUGUUGGCCAAGUUUAUACUAGUGGACCUGGCACAACUUAUCACUGCUAGCCGAUUCCAGAAGGAUAUGCUAAGGUGAUGGUAGAUGAAAUAACGGAGGGAUUUGAGGACCUCCCGCUUGAGCACCCUACCGGUGAAGGGGAGACUAGGCUGGGUUGUGCUCUGAAGACUCCAUGCCUAUGGCAGAAGGAGCUCAUCAACCUUCUGAACUGGACGCCUCCGCCUCAUCCUCCUCCUCCGGCGAGUCAGGGCACUCCGCCUCCUCCACCGCCUCCUCCUCCGGCGCGUGACGAUCAGGGCACGCGUGGCAGCACUCCGCCUCCUUCUCCGGCGUGUGGCGGCACUCCACCUCCUUCUCCGCCUGCGCCGGCGCUCCCGAGCAGCCAGCAGCCUCCUUCUCUGCCUCGCCAGCAAGGGCGGAAGAGACCUGCCGCCGCCCCGGCUGCUCCGGCGCGUCGUACUCCUUCUCCUCCGCCUCGUAAGCAAGCACGAAAGAAGACAGACGCCGCAGCCGCUCCGUCUGCUCCGACGUCUAGCAGCACAACCAGAGGCGGGAGGCAAUACAAAUACGGUCAAUCUCUCAAGCCUCUAGAGAAGUUACCGUACGAGAGGUCCGAGGAGGAAAACGAUACGAUUGUGCGGACCCACGUGAAGGAGUUCUUUGAAGGGGUGAAAGCAAAGAGACAUCCACCUCCGGAGGAGAAGGUAGAUCCGAUGAAAGCAAAGUGCACUAUCGAUGCCCUAAGGAAACCACCAAAGUCUCCGCCGAGAACCAACUAUGAGUGCAUUACUGAACAAACAUAUCUCCAAGCCCAGCGGUCGGGAACUACUGUCAGUGCUAAAAGGUCAAAAGAACGAGCAAAGGCGAAAAAAAUUGCCCAGCUCGGCAAACAAGCACAGCAAUCGUGCCCCCCGCUCAAUGUGUCUAAUGCUCCGGCGACAGUGGCCGGUUAUGGCAAUCUUGAAGAUUACCUGCCUGACGAUGCACUUCCUGAUUUCUUGGAGGUGGACGAACACAGAUACAAGUACGGGAAGCCUCUCGUCAAAGAUGAAAAAUCUUUGACGACAAUGAUGCGAAGAUUCCAUAAUUGGUACAUGGAAACCUGCAGAACGUCUGAGGGUACGAAUGCUUUGUAUCUGCAUAUUAAAGAGGAGCACGACCUCGUUACAAAUGAUCUGUUGACUGUUCCAUUUGAUGAGUUCUUCGCGUUCUUCAAUCAAAAGGCACUCGAUAAACUAAUGGUCUUUUGCUACUGUCUGUAAGUACUAUUUCUGUCAUUAAGUCUCUAUAUAUAGCUCGGCUCUUUCAUUUCAUGUAUUUAUAAUUAAUUAUCCUCAAUAUAUUAUGCAGAUUGAAGAUCGUUGAGUGCAAAAAACAAGAAAUUUAUGAUAUUGGGUUCAUUAACACAAAUAUCAUAGAUGAAUUUCUGGUUGAAAAGGACAUCAAAGAGGCCGAGGACAACGUGCUACAAUCGUUGAUCAAAAAUCAAAACAAAGAUACCAUACUCUUUCCUUACAACGGCAAGUGCGAAGGAGCUGCGAUAUACAUACCCGAAAGUAAGUACUACUGGCUAGCUAGUUGCGCGCAUCUCCCGUUGAUUCUAUAGCUAUACUUUCAUCAAUGCCAUUUAUAAUGCUUCAUUAUCAGUUUGAUUGACCUCUAUUUCUCGUAAAGUGCUUGUGGCAGGAAGAAGGGAAUGAUUUCUGUGGAUACUACGUGUGCGAGUUCAUCCACAACGCGACUUUGAAAAACAAGCGGGGCUACUCUCAAAGACAAUAUGAAGUGCGUAAGCAAUAAUAUUCACAAUUUCAUUUUAUUACACCAUCAUUUCUGUUGAGUUUCAUUCAUAUAUAUGUAUUAAUUAACCCCCUUCUUCAAAUUAGACAUGGCAGAUGCGGAAUGAACUCCUAGAACCAGAUCGCAUGAAAGCAAUUCAAGAGGAAUUGGCACGAUUCUUUCUUGACCACGUCAUCAAUAAAGCCGGAGAAUACCAUGUGGAAAUUGAUUUCAAUUGCUAGGGGAUUGUAAUUAAGAGAUCUUAUACGUAUUGUAAAUGUAUGUAGCCAGUAGCGUCAGAUACAUGAUAUACGAAAACUUGUUGUUCGACCAAUCUCUCGGAGAAGGAGAGGUCGAUCGAUCACUUCUCUCGGUAUGCAUGACGAACUUCUGUACUGAAUGGUUCUCUCGAUCACUUAUGUAUAUAUAGUACGUAGCGUCGACCAAGCACGGACAUAAGAGAGGACACUUCUCUCUAUUAAUUAGCUANNNNNNNNNNNNNNNNNNNNNNNNNNNNNNNNNNNNNNNNNNNNNNNNNNNNNNNNNNNNNNNNNNNNNNNNNNNNNNNNNNNNNNNNNNNNNNNNNNNNNNNNNNNNNNNNNNNNNNNNNNNNNNNNNNNNNNNNNNNNNNNNNNNNNNNNNNNNNNNNNNNNNNNNNNNNNNNNNNNNNNNNNNNNNNNNNNNNNNNNNNNNNNNNNNNNNNNNNNNNNNNNNNNNNNNNNNNNNNNNNNNNNNNNNNNNNNNNNNNNNNNNNNNNNNNNNNNNNNNNNNNNNNNNNNNNNNNNNNNNNNNNNNNNNNNNNNNCAGCCACUGGAAUGCUGACGCGUGGAUGCCUUUUGGUCCCGGUUGGAGCCACCAACAGGGACCAAAAGCCCCCCUGACUGGCCUCGGCGCACAGGGCCACAUGGAGGAACAUUGGUCCCGGUUCAUGUUUGAACCGGGACUAAUGGUUGGAGGUAUUAGUAACGACCCAUUAGUCCCGGUUCAUGAACCGGGACUAAAGGCCCUUACGAACCGGGACUAUUAGGUGUUUUUCUACUAGUGAUAAGGCUUCAGCUCAAAUGGUGACAUAGCAAUAUUCGCCAGAGUCCUCAUGAAGAAAUCAUGGAAGUUGACGGGAACGCCAUGAAUGAUAUUGAAAAGCAUGUUCUUCAUGAUGCCAACGACCUAUUCAUCAUUUGAGUCGUGGCCUUUGAUUGGACUCAUUGUCUUCGUCAGAAUGCGAUAGACAGUCCGGGGCACAUAUAGUAAUUCCUUGACGAGGAAUUUGGUUCGAGGAGCCUGCCCUGGCUUCAAAGGCUUCAUCAGCACUUGCAUGAAAUGAUUUGAAAGUUCAGUUUCACUGUAGACGCAACGAGCACCGUUAAGGGGAGGACUGAGUGGUAGGGCACGAAGCAAUUCAGUUGCUGGUGCCUUGUAGUGAGUAUUUUCAGACAUCCAGUCCAGCACCCAUGAAUUCACAUCUUCAGAGUUUCCUGUGAUGUGCAGCGUUUCAUAGAAUUGAAGAAUGAGUUCUUCAUUCUAGUCACAGAUGUCAGUGCAGAAGUUCAUCAAUCCAGCAUCGUGAAGAACACUGAGGACUAGCUCGAAGCACGGCAGAGACUCCAUGUCCACAAGAGGAAUAUGUUCAUGAUCGAAGACUUUAUCUUUGUCGAACAGUACUGAGGAAUAGAAAUUGGCUUGACUAGCAGUCCAAAAAUGCCUCUUCCUUAUGCGAGCAGAGUCAUACGGGUUGUAGUCAGUGAAGAACACAUGCUCGCUAAAGAAAUCUUCAGCCAUGAACUUUUGCUUCUUUGAGAAUGGAUCCCUGGGCUUGGGCACUGGAGUGUUAGUGAGUUGCAUCACAACCUCAGGAAUCGCAAUCUCAGGUUCUUUAGGCUGAGGAAUUUCUGGUUCCUCUUCAGUUGCAGUCUGCGUGUUCAGAGGAUCAGCAACAGCAAUUUCAUCAGCACUAGUGGCUGGAGUUUCUUCAUGCACAGACGAGGUGGGAUGAGUUUCUUCAGAGCCCAUUUGAACUGCUGGUGCAGGGGACUAAGGUAUUUGUUGUAGUGGCGUGAAGAGUGGAGUAUUGGGGUGCUGACUUUCCCAAAAGUCAUCAUUCAUCACGGGCGUUGUGCAGCCAAUCUCCACGUCUUCAUCUUCAAUUUCUUCAACGCCAGCCUCUUCAGCUGUGAACUGAGGCAUUGGCGAGGAAGCAACUGGCGUUGAAGGGAUCGUAUCCACUUCAAUUUCUUCAUCAGCCUGCUCUGACGAAGCAGCAGAUUGAGGUUCUUCAUUAGAUCCGCUAGGGAUCACAUAUUCCUCAUCAAAAGGAACAAGGUCCUUUGAUGGCAUGGUGGAAAUCGGAACAACAUCAAUUGGAUUUUCAAUAGAGCUUGUCAGAGGCUUCAUCUUCUUUGGAGCUGAAGAUUCUGAAGCACUGGAUGCUUUCCUUUUCUUCACUGCAGCUCGCUCUGCAGCCUUGGUCUUCUUCACAUCGAAUGCACAUGGAAGAAUUGGAGUUGGGGUUGGCGCAGAUGGAACUGAGGGAUCUGGUUGAAUUUCCUCAGGCGCAACUGAUGCAAUUGCCCUGACUUCUUCAGUUUCUUCUGGCGCACCACUAGUGGAUGCCCUGAAAAUUUCUUCAGCGGCUGGGAUGGAGUCAUCAGCCCUGGAACUAGUAUUUUCUUCAGCAGCCUGAAUGUCAUCAGCGGUACUGGCAUGUUCUUCAGUUGGCUGACCAGACACUUCAUCUUGAGGAGUUUCUUGUUGCGAUGGGGCUGCAACAUUUGUGAAUUUCUCAAUCAGUUUCACAAACCUGGCUUUGGCUCCUUGCCAAUCAGCAUAGUAAGCAUUGAAGUCAUUGCUGAGGGUUUUGAUUUCAACUUGGAUCUUGAGGAGUUCAUCAGUUGUCAUAUUGACAAUGUUAUUCUUCAGGAACUUCUCCUCUCUGAACUGAGUCUUCUUGAUCUGCCAGGCCUUCUCAAAUUUCCAUUUCUCUUCAGUGAUGAAAUGGGUCAGCAUGUGACUUUUACCAGGAGUCAGAUUGAAAUCAGGCAUAGGAGUAUUUGGAUCCUUGUUCCAGAUAUCAAUGUAAUCAAGGAUCGCCCUUGGAUCCAAUAGCAGUGGCACAUUUUUUGCCUUUGGCUCUAGCGGCCCUUUCUUGUCGGUCUCUGAUGAUUUCUGCAAGUUCAUCAUCAUCAACUUCAUCGUCAGAUGGCACUUGGGAAGCAACCUGUUUCUUCUUCGGACUUGGCUGAGGACCUCGACCAGCCGUUGCCUUAGUCUUCAGCAGAAUGGGGCCUGAUGAAGAUUUUGGUGCAGCUGAGGAACUUGCUGAGACACCAGAGGUAAUAGAGAUGCAUGUUGUCCUUUGACACGUGGCCAGAUGUACAGGUGUUGAGGACUUUGCCGAAGCAGCUGAGGACUUUGGAGGAGGAGCAGUUGUUGGGACUGGCUGUGAGGGCUUUGAAGAUUCUGGCCGUGAGGGCAUUGCUGAGGAACUUGGCCGUGAGGGCAUAGUUGGUGAAGCACUUGGCUUGUGAGCGGGCUUCUUUGCCAUUGAUUUUCUUGGCUUGACAGAGGCCUCAGUGGCAGUAGCAGCAGCAGAGUCUUCAUUGAAUUUCCUCAUUGCUUCUUUAGCUUGUCUCGCCAACUUAGCUUGGCGCUUGGCCCAUUCUUCAGGAAAGUCCUCACCACGCUUGAUGCUGGUGGGGUCAGCUUCUUGGCCAGGUGGCAAUGGAGCUCUUGGGCAUGGAGGAUUAAGUGCGAAUUUCUUCAUAUACUUUGGAGUCACAUAUCUGUACUCCCUCCAUUCUCUUCCCAUCUCCGUUCAAUCUUCUGUAUGCGCACCUUGCGCUGAGUUUUAGUUUCUUUUCCGUACUUAGCCUCAUCAGGAGUGCAAUAGUCAGUAUAGAGGUCCUCAGGGAUUUCAAAAGCAGUCAGGACCUCAGGCUUCUUUCCUCCUUUCUGCGGCUUCUUACCAAUAGCCAUAUUCUUCAGAUGAGGAAUUUGAACAAUCGAAUUUUCUGAAGAAGUAUGGAACUUUUCUUCAAGGAACGCUGCAAAUGAGUUAAUUUGAUAAGAACCUAGUGAUUCAGCAGCGGACAUGAGUACCUGUGAACAGAGUAUAGUUGCGAGGAAUUUGGAGAGGUCAUAUGCAUUCUCAGAAGGUUUUUCAAAAAGAACAAGUUUGAGAAAUUUGACCAGAUGAGCCUUGAAGAAUUUCACUAAGCGUUCUUUUUCUUAGGUUCCAGAGUUGUAUAGAUCGAAGAUCCACACAAUUGAGGAAUCUUGAAGAAAAACGAUGCUUAGAGAAACGAAUCAAGAACAGAUGACUAGUGUGGUGUUUUGUGUGUGUGGAUUUGAAGUAAUAAACACCUUUGAAUAUUUUGUUGUGAAAUUUUGAAUCAAAAGAGGUAGUAAAAGUAACUUUUAAUUACCCUUGAUGAAGAACACGACGAACUGUGAAGAAGAACAGUUAAGUUCAUCGGUGUAGAUCUUCCACGCCCUAACUUGGCGGAGGAAGACAGCUACGGCGGCGGCGGAGUGAAGAUUUCCGCGGUCGGCGCGAGUACGACGGCGAUGAGGUCGAGGCAAUGAAGCUCUUCCUCACCGGCGACGAUGGAGUAGCGGUGGCGCUAGGGUUUGAGGAGCUCGAGCGAGAGAGAGAGAGAGCGGUCGAGCGGAGUAAAGGAAGUGAGGAAGGGGAGAGGGGGUAUUUAUAGUCGCAGUGAAAAACUGUUCGCCCGAGGAUUUAGGACGAACGUUCCCCUGACCCUUCUCCUUCGCUUGAGAUGUGUCACCCACAUACUGAGAAGUGGAGAUCGUGUUAGAUCAUGUGUGAAUAGAUAAGUCUAUCGUGGGAUCUGGAACGGAUUGAGCGGUAAAACCGAAAGUUUGGAUAAGAUUAAUUUUAAAUUCCGUCCGCAAUUUCUUCAGCUGACAAGGACACAGUGAAGAUUUUGAACGAGUUUCAAAUAGAACGCACAUGAAGAAUUUGUUAAUAUACUGGGUUGAGUAUAGCAUAGAUGAGGAAGGGUCUGAUCACAUUCACUUANNNNNNNNNNNNNNNNNNNNNNNNNNNNNNNNNNNNNNNNNNNNNNNNNNNNNNNNNNNNNNNNNNNNNNNNNNNNNNNNNNNNNNNNNNNNNNNNNNNNNNNNNNNNNNNNNNNNNNNNNNNNNNNNNNNNNNNNNNNNNNNNNNNNNNNNNNNNNNNNNNNNNNNNNNNNNNNNNNNNNNNNNNNNNNNNNNNNNNNNNNNNNNNNNNNNNNNNNNNNNNNNNNNNNNNNNNNNNNNNNNNNNNNNNNNNNNNNNNNNNNNNNNNNNNNNNNNNNNNNNNNNNNNNNNNNNNNNNNNNNNNNNNNNNNNNNNNNNNNNNNNNNNUAACCAAUGAAGAAAAACAACGGAAACAAUGAAGAUUUUGAAAAGUUGAAGAAUUUGAACAACUGAGGAAUUUCAACAUUGAGGAAAAACUCAAAUUGAAGAUUUUCAACUUUUUGUGGUGGCGUGACCCACCGUAUAAGAAUGAUGAUUUCAGACACCGCGUACACUUGUUGUAGGAUUCUGAGAAUCAAAUUCUUCAUUAAAUUCUUCACACUUAGAGUGUUAUUCUUCAUUGAUUGAAGAAAAACGUUUCAUCAUGUGUUGCACAUCUAAGUCAUCAAUUUCGCAUAAGUGUUAGGAUGAGUGUCCUUUUUCAAAGAACAUUCGAAGACUCUAAGAUAUUUAGCUCACACCGCAACUUGCUAAAUCUCUUCUCAUCCAAGGGCUUUGUGAAGAUAUCGGCUAGCUGUUCUUCAGACUUCACGUGCUCGAUGGAGAUGUCGCCCUUCAACAGAUGAUCACGAAGAAAAUGAUGACGAAUCUGAAUGUGCUUUGUCUUCGAGUGCUGAACUGGGUUGUGAGCAAUCUUGAUGGCACUCUCAUUGUCACAGAGGAGAGGCACAUUCUUCACGUUGAUGCCAUAGUCCUUGAGGGUUUGCUUCAUCCAUAGCAGUUGAGCACAGCAAGAACCAGCAACAAUGUAUUCAGCUUCAGCAGUAGACAGUGAUACGCAGUUCUGUUUCUUCGAGGACCAACAGACCAAAGAUCGUCCGAGGAAAUGACAGGUACCAGAUGUUGACUUGCGUUCAACACGAUCACCAGCAUAGUCAGAGUCAGAGUAUCCAACGAGAUCAAAAGUAGAGCCCUUGGGGUACCAUAAUCCUAGUGUUGGUGUGUGAGCUAGAUAUGGAAGAAUGUGCUUCACAGCCUUAUGGUGUGAUUCCUUCGGUGCAGCUUGAAAUUGGGCACACAUGCAAACACUAAGCAUUAUAUCUGGCCUAGAUGCACAUAAGUACAAUAAAGAGCCAAUCAUGGAGCGGUAUACCUUGUGAUCGAAGUCAAUACCAUUUUCAUCAGUGCAUAGAUGGCCAUUUGUGGGCAUAGGAAUUUUGACGCCUUUGCAAUCUUGCAUGCCGAAUUUCCUCAGAACUUCCUUGAGGUAUUUCUCCUGAGAUAUGAAUAUGCCAUUGUGCUAUUGACGAAUUUGAAGACCUAAAAAGAAUUUCAACUCUCCCAUCAUAGACAUUUGAUAUUCUUCACUCAUCAUAUAGGUAAAUUCAUCACUGUAACGUUGGUCAGUAUAGCCAAAGAUAAUAUCAUCAACGUAUAUUUGGCACACAAACAGUUCACCAUCAUAAGAUUUAGUAAAGAGAGUAGGGUCGAGUGAACCGUGUGUGAAGCCAUUCUUCAUGAAGAAUUCCUUCAACGUGUCAUACCACGCCCGAGGGGCUUGCUUGAGGCCAUACAGGGCCUUGUUGAGUCUGAAGACUUUGUCAGGAUUCUCUGGAUCUUCAAAACCUGGGGGUUGAGCAACAUAUACUUCUUCCUCAAGCUUACCAUUGAGGGAUGCACUUUUCACAUCCAUUUGUUGUAAGAUAAUAUUAUGAUGGUUAGAAUAAGCAAGCAAUAUGCGAAUAGCCUCAAGUCUAGCAACAUGUGCAAAAGUUUCAUCGAAAUCAAUUCCUUCAACCUGUGUGUAGCCUUGAGCUACAAGUCGUGCCUUAUUCCUCACCACAAGGCCAUUUUCAUCUUGCUUGUUGUGGUAGAUCCACUUUGUGCCAAUGAUAUUAUGCUUGCGAGGAUCUGGACGUUUGACCAGUUCCCAGACAUUGUUGAGCUCGAACUGAUGUAAUUCUUCUUGCAUGGCCUGAAUCCACUCAGGCUCCAGAAAUGCUUCAUCUACCUUAGUGGGCUCUGUAAUAAAGAGAAAAGCAUAGUGCCCACAAAAGUUAGAUAAAUGUGAAGCUCUUGAGCGUGUGAGAGGACCUAGCGCUUGAAUGUCAUCAAUGAUCUUUUCCACUUGCACUUCUUUUGCAAUGCGAGGAUGAGCUGGUUGUCGUUGAGGAAUUUGAUCAGCAUUAUCUUCAGCACCAUUUUCUUCAGCAUUUUCAUCAGGUGCACCAGCUCGAUUUUCUUCACGUUCUGGAAUGAAUUCUUCAACAGAUUCUUCGGUAGGAAUAACAUCCUCAGUAGCCUUGAACUUGAUAGAAUCCUCAGGUGCUGGUUCAUCUAUCACAAAAGGUAGGUACUCUCUUUGCGAGCCAUUAGUUUCAUCGAACCGCACAUCUAUAGUUUCAACAACCUUGUGAAGAAUGUUGUUUAGGACUCUGUAGGUGUGCGAGUCCUUUCCGUAACCAAGCAUAAAACCUUCAUGUGCUUUCGGUGCAAAUUUAGCAUUGUGAUGAGGAUCUCUAAUCCAACAUUUAGCACCGAAGACGUUGAGAUAACUCACACUGGGUUUCUUGUGAGUGAGGAGUUCAUAGGCAGUCUUCUUGAAGAAUUUGUGAAGAUAUACCCGAUUGAUGAUGUGGCACGCAGCAUCAAUUGCAUCAAUCCAAAAACGAUGAGGCGUUUUGUAUUCAUCAAGCAUAGUGCGAGCCAUUUCAGCGAGGGUUCUGUUCUUGCGCUCCACGAUGCCAUUCUGCUGAGGAGCAUAAGGAGCAGAUAACUCAUGAGUAAUACCAAGUUCAUCAAGAUAGCCAUCAAGACCGGAAUUCUUGAACUCGGUCCCAUUGUCAGUUCUGAUGUGCUUGAUCUUCACACCAAAGUUGGUUGAAGCCCUCGUGGAAAAUCGUUUGAAGAUUUCCUGCACUUCAUGUUUGUAAGUGAUAAUGUGUACCCAUGUGUAACAAGAAUAGUCAUCAACAAUAACAAAGACAUAUAGAGAUGCAUCAUUUGAAACAGCAGAAUAAUGAUUAGGACCAAAGAGAUCCAUGUGAAGCAAUUCAAAUGGACGAGUAGUGGUCAUAAUAGUCUUUGCUGGAUGCUUGGCCUUUGUCAUCUUUCCAGCUUCACAAGCUCCGCAUAAGUGAUCCUUGAGGAAUUUGACAUUCUCAAUGCCAAUGACAUGCUUCUUCUUCGCAAGCGUGUUCAGAUUCCUCAUGCCAGCAUGACCAAGUCGUCGAUGCCAUAGCCAGCCUUCUGAAGCUUUUGCAAGUAAGCACAUAGCUGGUUGUGGUCCUGUAGAGAAACCAACAAUAUACCGAUCUCCUCUCCUAAAGCCUUCGAAGACUUUGGAAUGGUCAGCUUCCAUGAUCACAACACAUCGAUAUCUUCCAAAGACAACAACCAUAUCGAGAUCACAAAGCAUUGAGACAGACAUGAGGUUGUAUCCUAAGGACUCGACAAGCAUGACUUUGUCCAUGUUUCGAUCCUUUGAGAUCGCAACCUUACCUAGACCCAAUACCUGACUUUUUCCUUUGUCAGUGAAGAUGAUGUGCUUCGCUUGUGACGGUGUUAAGGGAGCAUCCAUCAAUAGGUUCUUGUCACCAGUCAUUGGAUUUGUACAUCCACUAUCGAGAACCCACUCGUUGACUUUGGGCUAAUCAUCCUGCAGAUGAAUUAGUGCAACUUACGAUCUCAUAUACUUCAUCAGUGAAGAAUAUGAUAUCAAGUUCAUCAGAUGAAUUUCAUCAAGCAGUAAAACAGAUAUUUCAGUAUGAGGACGUGUGAAAUGAAGGUUCAUUUCAUCAUGAUUCGCCUGCGUCCUUUCAGGCAUUUUUGUCAGGCCUCCAGCAAAUUCUUCAGACGUUUAAAACACGUCUGGAGACCUGACCCUGCAUAAGAGAUUAGUUCUUCUUCUUCACCACCCACAUCUGAAGGGGUGGCAAAGAGUUCAUCACUCUGCGAGCACCAUAUGAGAAAGGUGGCAUAGAGGCCAAUCCAUUUCAUUUCACAUAAGAGGGGUUAGGCUAAGCAUAUGAAUAAGCAGAGAAAUUCUUCGAGGACUUAUGAACAUAAUGAUUUGAAGAAUAAUGUGCGUAUUCAUAGCCCUUAGCUCUACCCUGCAAAACAGAAUUGUUAGCACGAUGAUGGUCAUAUGAGGACUUUGAUCCAUUUGAGGAAUUUGAUCCACGUGAGGAAUUUGGUCCGUAUGAGGACUUGGAUCCAUAUGAAGAAUUAGGUCCAUAUGAAGAGUUUGAUCUGGGGUUCCUAUUCUUCACAGGUGGUGUCAUGAGGACAUUCACCUGAAGACUUUCAAUAUAACUUUUGGGAACCCAGUUUUUUUCAUAGGGGAACCGUUCCUGCAGUUAGUCCCAACAUAUCUAGCAAAUACUUCACCAUUCUGAUUUUUGAACAGUUUAUAGUUGGAGUCAAAUGACUCGUCAGAAGAAUGAGGAGAUUCACAUGUAAAGCCAGAUAAGUUGGAUGGAUCAACUGGAGGUCCCUUUGCAGCAACCCAUGAGGUUUUGGGGUACUGCUCAGGCUUCCAAUAUGUUCCAUCAGCAUUGAGUUUCCUCUCAAAGGCAAUACCCUCUUUCCUAGGGUUUCUGUUGAGGAUCUGCUUUUUGAGCACAUCACAAAGAAUCUAAUGCCCUUUGAGGCUUUUGUACAUGCCUGUCGUGUACAAUUCCUUCAGCCCUGCAUCAUUAGUAGUACUAGCAAUGUCCUCAGAUGAGGAAUUAGUGAUAGCAGAGGCAGGUGAAGGAUUUGUAACAGUUGAAGCAUUUGAACAUUCAGGUGAUUAAUUAGCAGAUUCACGUUCAAUGCACUUUAAGCAUGGAGGAACAAAUUCUUCUUGAGUAGCGCUGAUUUGUUGAGCAAGUAAUGAAUCGCGAUCCUUCUGAAGAUCUUUAUAACUCACUCUUAGCUUCUCAAGAUCUUGCUUUCUUUGAAGAAAUUCAUAAGAAAGCUUCUCGUGAUCAGAUAAGAGAGUGUUAUGAUGACUUUGAAGAUUGUCAAACUUAGACUGAAGUCUCUAAAGAUUUUCAGUUAAGUCUUUAGUGCGGUCCAUUUCAUCACCCAACAUAUCAUCACUUUUGUCUAGCAUGUUUUGAAGUUUUUCAAUAGCCUUUUGUUGUUUCACAGCAAUCUUAGCAAGUUUAGAGUAGCUGGGCUUAAGAUUUUCAUCAGAUUCAUCCUCACUAGAUUCAGAGGAGGGGUAUUUUGUUACCUUGGCACCCUUUGCUAUGAAGCAAUAGGUGGGAGCGUAGUCAUCAUUGUCUUCGUCAGCCUUGUUGGUGCGGUCAAUUUCUUCAGAGUUGAAGAUAGACUUGCUGACGAAAGCAGUAGCGAGAGACAGACUCGCCACACCAGACUCUGACUCCUCAGAUGCCUCCUCUUCCUCAUGUUCCUCAGAUUCAGCUUCAGAGUCCAUUUCCUUGCCAAUUAAUGCUCGAGACUUCUUGGUGCUGCUCUUCUUGUGAGAUGAAGACUUCGAGGAUUUUGAUGAUGAAGAUUUUGAAGAUUUCUUCUUCUUCUUUAAUUCCUUUUCCCACUGAGGACAAUCCUGAAUAUAGUGACCAGGUUUCUUGCAUUUGUGGCAAAGUCUUCUCUUAUAGUCACUUGAUGAGGAAUCACUGCUCCUUGAGGAUUUUCCAAAGAGACCACGUCUUGAAAACUUCUGGAACUUCUUGACGAGCAGUGCAAGCUCUUGGCUCAAUUCUUCAGGAUCACCAAGGCUACUACCAGAGUCUUCACAUUCAGAUUCAGACACAACCUUGGCCUUCAGGGCACGUGGUUUGCCAUAGCUUGAACCAUAGAGAUCUCUCUUUUCAGCAAGCUGGAACUCAUGAGUAUUUAGCCUCUCGAGGAUAUUAGCGGGAUCUAGUGACUUGUAAUCAGCUCGCUCUUGAAUCAUCAGUGCCAGAGUAUCAAAUGAGGAAUCUAGCGAUCUCAGCAAUUUCUUCACCGCCUCAUCGUCGGUGAUGUCAGUGGCGCCAAGCGCUUGAAGCUCAUUUGAGAUAUCAGUGAGGCGAUCGAAGGUUUGCUGAACAUUUUCAUUGUCGAGUCUUUUGAAGCGGAUGAAGAGAUUGCGAAGAACGUCAACACGAGAGUCACGUUGAGUUGAGACUCCUUCGUUUACUUUGGAGAGCCUAUCCCAGAUAAGCUUAGCAGUUUCCAAAGCACUCACUCUUCCAUACUGUCCUUUGCUCAGAUGGCCACAUAUGAUAUUCUUCGCUUGAGAAUCGAGUUGCUUGAAUCUCCUCACAUCAGCAGCAUUUAGAGAAGGUGUGACUGAGGGAACACCAUUUUCCACAACGUACUAGAGAUCGUUGUCAAUUGCUUCAAGAUGCAUUCGCUUCUUAUUCUUCUAGUAGGGGUAGUCCGUGCCGUCGAAGGUAGGACACCCAGCGGAGACCUUGAUCAUACCUCCGGUCGACAAAACUAGAACUCUAGGUGUUAAACCAAAAUCACACAGAACAAGGGAGUACCUUGCUCUGAUACAAAUUGAAAGUGCGUUAUAUCGACUAGAGGGGGGUGAAUAGGCAAUUUUUAUGAAUUCUUCACUGAGGAAUUUGCCGGUGAGGAAAUUCCUUAGCGAAGAACUACUAGUAGCGGAAUAAGUACUCAGAAGUAAGCAUAACAGGAUACAGACAUAGUCAUCAUGAUGAAAUUAAGACAAACACGUAGUACAGGAAGCGUAAACACAUGAUAACACAAGAUGAAGACAAAUAGAGUGACGAAAUUGAACUGAGGAAAUUGAGAAAGUCUUCAGUCAAAGUCUUCAAACACAGAUAUGAACAAUCACUCAACACAGUAAUGAGGAAAUGAAAGAAUUGAGGAAAUAGAACCAAUAAGGUUGGUGAAGACAAUGAUUUGGUAGACCAGUUCCAACUGCUGUCUCAGUUGUACAUCUGGUUGGAGCGGCUGAGUAUUUAAACUCGACGACACACAAUCCCGGACAACCAGUCGUUGAGCACGCAGCUCGGGACACCAAGUCCUCACCGUAUUCUCCUUGAACUAAGGUCACGUAGACCUCGUCCAAUCACUCGUGGUAAGUCUUUAGGUGACAUCCAAACCUUCACAGACUUGGUCACUCGGCGAUCCACAAUUCCUCUUGGAUGCUCUAGACCAUGAUGCCUAACCGUCUGGAAGAAGCACAGUCUUCAAAGGUAACAAGCAUCGGAUCCACGCAGGAUCAAUCUCUUCAGUGAUGCUCAAUCACUUUGGGGUUUGUAGGUGUAAGGGUUUGGGUUUUUCCUCACUUGAUGAUUUUCGCUCAAAGUCCUCGAAGGAUGGGUUGCUCUCAAAUGACAAGUGUCAGUUUCUCUCGGAGCAGCCAACCAACUAGUGGUUGUAGGGGGACGGCUAUUUAUAGCCUAGGGAGCAGCCCGACAUGAUAAGACAUAAAUGCCCUUGUCUGAUAUGACCGUUAGGUGGAUAAGAUGUUUUGGGACAGCUGGCGCGCAGCACAGCAACGGUCGGAAAUUUGACUAUCAAAUUCCUCAGGGCUAUCAUGUUCCUCACUGUGUAGGCAAUCCGCACUGGCGAAUUCCUAACUCCUCAGUCAGAACAAAUUCCUCACCGACCAGAAGAACUUCAUCUCUAUCACUGAAGAAAUUGACUAAACUGUAUGAGAUUUCCAAAGGCUUCAGUCGAAGGGUUUGGUAGAUGUAGGAUUUUGAGUUGAGAAUCACAUGGAAAUGUUUCCUUAGUAUUUCCUCGACCCCCUUUAAUAGUAUGGUGUUCCCUAUGACUCAAGAAAGAGAAAAACGAAACUAUGAAAACGAAAGUCUUCAAGCUUCAUAUUCCUCGCAUGAAUAUCAAGUCUUCACGGAUACACCAAUUUCUUCACUUUCAAAGUCUUCAUGAAAGUCUUCAGGAAUACCAAAAUCUUCAGUCGAAGAUAUUCAUUUUUAGGGGUCGACUUUCUCUUUAAAUAUCAAACUCCUCAUAGACUUAUAGACCUGUGUACACUCACAAACACAUUAGUCCCUUAACCUAUAAGUCUUCAAUACACCAAAAUCACUAAGGGGCACUAGAUGCACUUACAGCCCGUGAUGUGUUGUGCGUGUGCGUGCGUGCAGUGGCUGCGUCAGGUUCGGCCCAUGACAGGGCUCGGGUGCGUGCGUGCGCGACUGAGCGUAGGUGUGUGUGUGUGUGUGUGAGCUAGCGUGUGUGUGCGCGGGGCCACACCAGUAUGUUAGCUAUGAUCCAGGGGAGUGGACCGCGUUGGGUGCGCGACGAGGCUGUGGCGAUUGCGUACGGGCACGAGGCACGGGCGCAGCCAGAGCGCGCGGGACGUGGGUGAGUGGGGGAGCGAGUGGGUGCGAGGCGAGGCCUGGCAUGUCAGUGCUCCCUCUCCUCAUAAAGAGCGAGGUAGAGCUAGGGCAAGCUAGGGUUCGGGGGGGAGCCACGGAAACAACAAUUGGCAUCAAAGCUUCAGGUGGAGCGGCUCGCCGGAGUUCAUGGCACUAGUACCACAUGGCGGCGGCGGCGCAGGCGGAUCGGUGUCGAUGAACAUGCCGAUGCUCUCGCCGAAGAGCUACACCGUGUGAGCGAUCAAGGCGCAGGCGAUCCUUGAUGCCCACCCACUGUGGGAGGCGGUGGCGCCGGCGAACGACGCCGCGGUCAACGGGAAGAAGUGCAAGACGGCGAGGGCGUUGAUCCUCGCGGGGCUGCCGGAGGACGUCUUGCUGCAGGUGGCGGCGAAGCCCACGGCGAGGGAGGUAUGGGACUCCCUCAAAAUGCGUUUCGUCGGUGCCGAACGGGUGCGCGCGGCGAGUAGGGCGGAGAGUCCCUGGACGUCUAUGCCGGCAGGUUUCCCGGGAUGAAGGCGAGGUUCGCGAGCCUGGGGGAGACGCUGGGCGACACCGAGCUGGUGAAGAAGCUCAUGGACACGGUGCCGAACCGCCUCUUCCCUGUCGUCGCCGGGAUCAAGUAGUUCUGCAUGCUGGAGGAGCUCACGUACGACGAGGUGCUCGGGCAGCUGCGCGAAUUCGAUGAGCGUGUGCGGCGCCGCGGGCAAAGCAGCACCGAGCGCUCGGACGGCCAACUUUUCUACACUACAGCCCAGUGGCGGGCGCGGGAACGGCGGCAAGGCGGAGCUCGCGACGACGAUGAUGACGUGCGCAGCGUGGCGACGCGGGACGGCGGCUGUCGGUGUCAAAACCGGCGGAUCUCGGGUAGGGGGUCCCGAUCUGUGCGUCUAAGGCUAAUGGUAACAUGAGGCAAGGGACACAAUGUUUACCCAGGUUCGGGCCCUCUCGAUGGAGGUAAAACCCUACUUCCUGCUUGAUUGAUAUUGAUGAUAUGAGUGUUACAAGAGUUGAUCUACCAUGAGAUCAUAGAGGCUAACCCCUAGAAGCUAGCAUAUGAUGAUUAUGAAUGUUGUGAUCGUCCUCAUACGGACUAAACUUUCCGGUUUAUAUAGACACCGGAGAGAGCUAGGGUUUACAUGGAGUCGGUUACAAGGAAGGAAAUAUAAUAUCCGAAUCACCAAGCUUGUCUUCCACGCAAAGGAGAGUCCCAUCCGGACACGGGACGAAGUCUUGAGUCUUGUAUCUUCACGGUCCCAUAGUCCGGCCAAAGUAUAUAGUCCGGCUGUCCAGAUACCCCCUAAUCCAGGAGUCCCUUAGUAGCCCCUAAACCAGGCUUCAAUGACGAUAAGUCCGGCGCGCAGUUUGUCUUCGGCAUUGCAAGGCGGGUUCCAUCUACGAAUACUCCAAAAUAAUUAUCGAACACUUAAACCAUUGCAGAGAGAAUAGUAUUUCACAAAUGUAAUCUGCUAACAACUUUAGACAACGUGACACGACACUACGGUCGGGUUAUUAUUCGAACCGUUUUCCCACAACCAGCCACAACCCAUAUUGCGAGGCGGUUUCCUCGGCACGUCUUGUCAAAGCAGAGAUCAUGUCCCCUUAUCAUGGGGUUCCCAUCAAUACGGGUAUGGGUAACCCAACCGCGCCAUCUAUCGUGGCGCUUGAAAAAUAAGCGACCCUCAACGGGUAAGUGGGGAGGCGCACCGCUUUCGUCGCCUCUAUAAAGGGAUAAGAGUUCCCCAUUUUCACCCACGCCUUCUUCCUCCUUCGAUAAUCCAUUCUUGCCUCCUCGAGCUCCAGCGCCCUAGUCCAUGCCUUCUUCGCAUAGCCAAACAUGUCCGGAGCAGGAGGCAAGUGGGUGGCCUCCGCCGUAAAGGAGGAGAACAUUGCGAAGCUUCGGGCGGCCGGAUACUUGGCCGCAGACAUCGCGCACCGGCUACCGGACGCAGGGCAGAUCAUUCCAACUCCGGAACCCCAUGAGAGGGUCGUGUUUCUCGCCCACUUCGUCCGUGGACUGGGAUUUCCACUUCAUCCCUUCGUCCGCGGGCUCAUGUUCUACUACAGUCUAGAUUUUCAUGAUCUAGCCCCAAAUUUCGUCCUCAACAUCUCGGUGUUUAUCGUCGUGUGCGAGGCCUUCCUCCGCAUCAAACCUCACUUCGGCUUGUGGCUACGAACCUUAUGCGUAAAGCCGAAGAUCGUGAGCGGCUAGCAAGCGGAGUGCGGAGGUGCCAUGGUGGGCAAGAUGCCCCACGUCACCUGGCUUGACGACUCCUUCGUGGAAACCGUGAAAGGGUGGCAAGCAGGGUGGUUCUACAUCACCGAGCCGCGCAGUGCCAACUGGGCGGCGGCCCUCGAAUUCCGAUCCGGAAUCCCCAUGUGGCUCACCUCCUAGGAGAAGAAGGGCCUGGCCUGGGGCGAGCCUGCGGAGCUGACCAGACUUCAGAACUGUAUCAAAAAUAUGAUUGACAAGAACAUCAAGCUUGUCAACGUAGUCCAGGUCAUGCUCGUUCGCCGAAUUCUUUCAUGCCAGAGACGGGCUUUUAAUCUGUGGGAGUUCGUCCCGGCCGAACACCGGACACUCCGAGAGCUCCACGGCAUGACACUUAAGGACGCAUGGAAGGUGAUGUUUAAGGGUACCGAAACACCUCCUCCCACGCCCGAGGACCGCGGACUCCAUGUCGCACGGUCCCCCCAUCCGGUGAGUUUUCUAACCAUCACCAGGUGUAGCUUUCCCAGCAUACUCAUGGGAAGAUGUUAAGUUAUUGUGUGUACUUAAUCAAGAGUACAUGGAGAUGGCGAAGCGGAUCGACUGUCCGGCUCCGCUGCCAGAAGGUCCAGCGACCGUUCUCCUAACGGAGAUGCUAGUCCCGGCGCCUUACAAAGCGGCAGAAAAGAAGGCCGAGAAGAAGGCCCCAGGGACCAGGAAGGGUCUCCGGCGCAAGGCCGUCAUAGGCUCGUCGUCCGAGGAUGGCGAGGCGGAUUCCUCCCACGGAGGCAGGGAGGAUCACGAAGAAAUGCCACCUCCUUGCACUGGGGAGGAGAAUAAAAGGAAAGCCGCCCCGGAUGGGGAGGCUAGGAAACCCAAGAAGGGAAAGGUGUCCCUUCGGAUUAUUCCACCACGGCCGCCUUCAGCGAGGAGGAGUGGCUGCCCACGGGGAAGCCCCUAGUAAGAUCGUAAGUAUCCGUACUUCCAUUGUACUUUAGUGCGACUUUGCUUCAUAGUCUGUUCUAACGCCGAACACGCAUGCGUAGUCCAGCCAGGGCCCAUCCCAAGGUAUCUUCUUCGGAUGGGUCUUUUAGCGAUUCGGCGAUGAAUUCGCUCCCAACGGCCACUUCCCCUCGGCCUGUGGACGACACGGAGGUGUUGUCCCAAAGGCUCCCUACUACGUCUUGAGCUAGCAUUGGUUUUCCCAGAAGAGGAGAGGGUGAUGCAGCAAGUGUAGCGUAAGUAUUUCCCUCAGUUUUGAGAACCAAGGUAUCAAUCCAGUAGGAGGCUCCUCAAAAGUCCUACGCACCUACACAAACAAACUAAGAACUCGCAACCAACACAAUAAAGGGGUUGUCAAUCCCUUCACGGACACUUACGAAAGUGAGAUCUGAUAGAGAUAGUAUGAUAAUAUAAAUAUAUUUUUGAUAUUUUAUAAUAUAAAUGCAAAAAGUAAAGAUGCAAAUAAAAGUAGAUUGAAAGCAAAUAUGAUAAGAGAUAGACCCGGGGGCCAUAGGUUUCACUAGAGGCUUCUCUCGAGAUAGCAUAAGUAUUACGGUGGGUGAACAAAUUACUAUCGAGCAAUUGAUAGAAAAGCGCAUAGUUAUGAGAUUAUCUAGGCAUGAUCAUGUAUAUAGGCAUCAUGUCCAUAACAAGUAGACCGACUCCUGCCUGCAUCUACUACUAUUACUCCACACAUCGACCGACUCCUGCCUGCAUCUAGAGUAUUAAGUUCAUAAGAACAGAGUAACGCAUUAAGCAAGAUGACAUGAUGUAGAGGGAUAAACUCAUGCAAUAUGAUAUAAACCCCAUCUUGUUAUCCUCGAUGGCAACAAUACAAUACGUGUCUUGCAACCCUUUCUGUCACUGGGUAAGAACACCGCAAUAUUGAACCCAAAGCUAAGCACUUCUCCCAUGGCAAGAAAGACCAAUCUAGUAGGCCAAACCAAACUGACAAUUCGAAGAGACUUGCAAAGAUAACUCAAUCAUUCAUAAAAGAAUUUCGAGAAGAUUCAAUUAUUAUCCAUAGAGAAAUCUGAUCAUAAACCCACAAUUCAUCGGAUCUCAACAAACACAUCGCAAAAAGAUAUUACAUCGAAUAGAUCUCCACAAGAGAGAGGGAGAACAUUGUAUUGAUAUCCAAAAAGAGAGAAGAAGUCAUCUAGCUAAUAACCAUGGACCCGUAGGUAUGUGGUAAACUACUCACAACUCAUCGGAGGGGCAAGGAUGUUGAUGUAGAAGCCCUCCAUGGUCGAUUCCCCCUCCGGCAGAGUGCCGACGAAGGCUCCAAGAUGGGAUCUCACGGAUACAGAAGGUUACGGCGGUCGAAAUUGUGUUUCGUGGUGCUCCUGGAUGUUUUUGGGGUCCGUAGGUAUAUAUAGGAGGAAGAAGUACGUCGGUGGACGCCCGAGGGUCACACGAGACAGGGGGAUGCGCCCUACAGGGGGGGCCUAUCUCGUGGGGUCCUCGGGAGCUUCUUGACUUUCACUCCAAGCUCUCCAGAUCUUGUUCAUUCCAAAAAUCACGCUCCCGAAGGUUUCAUUCCGUUUGGACUCCGUUUGAUAUUUCUUUUCUUCGAAAUACUGAAAUAGGCAAAAAAACAGCUAUACGGGUUGGGCCUCCAGUUAGUAGGUUAGUCCCAAAAAUGAUAUAAAUGUGUAGAAUAAAGCCCAUAAACAUCCAAAAGGGGUAAUAUAAUUGCAUGGAACAAUCAAAAAUUAUAGAUACGUUGGAGACGUAUCAAGCAUCCCUAAGCUUAUUUCCUGCUCGUUCUCGAGUAGGUAAAUGAUAAAAAAGAAAUUUUUGAUGUGGAAUGCUACCUAGCAUAAUUCAUAAUGUAAUUUUCUUUCAUGUGGCAUGAAUGUUCAGAUCCAAAUGAUUCAAAAUAAAAGCUUAUAAAACAUAAAAAUAAUAAUGCUUCAAAGCAUACUAACAAAUAAUCAUGUCCUAUCAAAAUAGCAUAGCCAAAGAAAGCUUAUCCCUACAAAAUCAUAUAGUUAGGCCAUGCUUCAUUUCCAUUACACAAAAUACUCCCAUCAUGUACAACCCCGAUGACGAGCCGAGCAAUUGGUUCAUACUUUUUAACGCGCUUCAGCUUUUUCAACUCUUACGCAAUACAUGAGCGCAAGCCACAUACAUAGCACUAUGGUGGUAUAUGGUGGUUGGGAGGACAAAAAGAGGGAGAAGAUAGUCCCACAUCAACUAGGCAUAUUAACGGGCUAUAAGGAGAUUCCCAUUAAUAGAUAUCAAUGUGAGUGAGUAGGGAUUGCCAUGCAACGGAUGCACUUAGAGCCAUAAAUAUAUGAAAGCUCAACGAAAGAAACUAAGUGGGUGUGCAUACAACUUGCUUGCUCACGAAGACCUAGGUCAUUUUGAGGAAGCCCAUCAUUGGAAUAUACAAGCCAAGUUCUAUAAUGAAAAAUUCCCACUAGUAUAUGAAAGUGACAACAUAUGAGACUCUCUAUCAUGAAGAUCAUGGUGCUAUUUUGAAGCACAAGUGUGGAAAAAGAGAUAGUAGCAUUGUCCCUUCUCUCUUUUUCUCUCAUUUUUUUUCUUCUUUUUUUCUUCUUUCUUUCUUUUUCUCUUUUUUUUCUUUGGCCUCUUUUUUUUCUUUUUGGCCUUUCUCAAAAUAUUUUUUUCUCUUUUCUUUUCUCAUUUUUUUCUUUCUUUUUGUAAAGUCCGAAGUCUCAUCCCGACUUGUGGGGGAAUCAUAUCCUUCAUCAUCCUUUCCUCACUAGGACAAUGCUCUAAUAAUGAAGAUCAUCACACUUUUAUGAAUUUACAACUCAAAAAUUACAACUCAAAGCUAGAACAAGAUAUGACUCUAUGUGAAUGCCUCCGGCGGUGUACCGGGAUAUGCGAUGAAUCAAGAGCGACAUGUAUGAAAAUUAUGAAGGUGGCCUUGCCACAAAUACAAUGUCAACUACAUGAUCAUGCAAAGAGCAAUAUGACAAUGAUGGAAUGUGUCAUAAUAAAUGGAACGGUGGAAAGUUGCAUGGCAAUAUAUCUCGGAAUGCCUAUGGAAAUGCCAUAAUAUGUAGGUAUGGUGGCUGUUUUGAGGAAGGUAAAUAAUGGGUUCAAUACCGGCGAGAGUUGCGCGGUAAUAAGAAAAGCUGGCAAAGUAAAAUGACAAGUGUGCAUAUGUCCAUGGACUCACAUUAGUCAAAAAAGAACUCAUAUACUUAUUGCAAAAGUCUACUUCGCCCUCAAAGCAAAGUACUACUAUGCAUGCCCCAAUAGGGAUAGAUUGGUAGGAAAAAAUUCCAUCGCUCGUCCCCGACUGCCACUCAUAAGAAAGACACUCAAAAGAGCACCUCAUGCAACAAAUUUGUCACACAACUUUUACCAUACGUGCAUGCUACGGGACUUGCCAACUUCAACAAAAGUAUUUCUCAAUUUCAUAAUUACCCACUAGCAUGACCCUAACAUUACUACAUUUAUAUCUCAAAACAAUUAUCAAGCAUCAAGUUGAUCAUAGCAUCCAAUUCUUUUUCUAUGAUAGUUUUUAUUAUACCCAACUUGGAUGCUCAUCAUUCUAAGACCAACUUUGUAACCAUAGCAAAUACCAUGCUGUUCUAAAAGACUCUCAAAAUAAUAUAAGUGAAGCAUGAGAGACUAGCAGUUUCUUCAAAAUUAUUCCACCGCCUUGCUCUAAAAGAUAUAAGUGAAGCACUAGAGCAAAAACUAUCAAGAUCAAAAGAUAUAAGUGAAGCACAUAGAGUAUUCUAACAAAUUCUAAUCAAAUAGGCUUCUCCCAAAAGGUGUGUACAGCAAGGAUGAUUGUGGUAAACUAAAAAGUAAAUACUAAUAUAAUACACGACGCUCCAAGAAAAAUACAUAUCAUGUAGCGAAUAAAAAUAUAGCUCCAAGUAAAGUUACCAAUGAACGAAGACGAAAGAGGGCAUGCCUUCCCGGGGCAUCCCCAAACUUAGGCUUUUGGCUAUUCUUUAAUAUAUUGGGGUGCCAUGGGCAUCCCCAAGCUUAGGCUCUUGCCACUCCUUAUUCCAAAGUCCAUAAAAGCUUUACCCAAAAAUUGAAAACUUCACAACACAAAACUCAACAGGAAAUCUUAUAAGCACCGUUAGUGAAAGAAAGCAAAACCACCACAUAAGGUAUUGCCAUGAAAUCAUUCUUUAUUUAUUUUGGUGUUAAACCUACUGUAUUAAAACUUACUUAUGGUUUAUAAACUAAUUUACUAGCCAUAGAUGCAUUGAAAUAAGCAAACAACACACGAAAAACAGAAUCUAUCAAAAACAGAACAGUCUGUAGCAAUCUGUAACCAACGCAAACUUUUCGAACUCUAAAAAUCCUACCAAAAUAGGACUUACUUGACAAUUUGUUUAUUGAUCAGAAUCAAAAAGAAUCAAUGCAAAAGCACGUUCCUGUGAUUUAUUAAAUUUUUUCUCGUGAGCGCAAAGUUUCUGUUUUUCAGCAGAAUCAAAUCAACUAUCAUCAUAGGUUAUCCUAUAGGUUCUACUUGGCACAAACACUAACUAAAAGAUAAAAACACAUAUAAACAGAGACUACAUGCAAGAUUUAUUACUAAACAGGAGCAAAAACAAAAAACAUAAAGAAAAAUUGGGUUGCCUCCCAACUAGCGCUAUCGUUUAACGCCCCUAGCUAGGCAUUGAGAUUUCAAUGAUGCUCACAUGAAAGACAAGAUUUGAAGCAUAAAGAGAGCAUCAUGAAACACGUGACAAACACAUCUAAGUCUAACAUACUUCCUAUGCAUAGGAAUAUUAUAAUCAAACAAAUUUGCAAGGCAAGCAAGAACUAAUAUAUGCAAGGAAGAAGAAAGAGACGAUAGCAAUCUCAACAUAAUGAGGGGUAACUUAGUAACAUGAAAAUUUCUACAACCAUAUUUUCCUCUCUCAUAAUAAUUGCAUGUGGGAUCAUAAGCAAAUUCAACAAAAUAGCUAUCACAUAAAAUAUUUUCAACACGAUCCACAUGCAUGCAAAGUUGACACUCUUCCAAAAUAGUGGGAUUAACAUUAACUAAAGGCAUGACCUCUCCAAACCCACUUUUAUCAAAAAUACUAUAAUAUUGAACAUUCUCCAAAUAUGUGGGAUCUAAAGUUGACACUCUUCCAAACCCACUUUGAAUAAUAUUGCAAACACUAUUAUCAAUGUCAUAUUCAUCAUGGGGCUUAAAUAAAUUUUCAAGAACAGAAGAAGAAUCACCCCAAUCAUGAUCAUUGCAACAAGUAGUAAACAUAGCAAGACUAGCAUCCGCAAGCUUAGGGUUUUGCAUAUUAUUAGCACAAUUGACAUCAAGAGAAUUUAUAGUAAAAUCAUUGCAAUCAUGCUUUUUAUCGAAGUAACUACCAAGUAUGGGUGCAAUAGCAACGAUCUCAUGUUUAACAUAAGGAACUAUAGCAAAUUCGUCUUCAUAAAUAUUGGCAUCAUGGCCACAAGAAUAGAAAGCAUCAUGUUCAUCAAGGGAUAUUUCAACCAAAUCAUCGGAAUCAUUAUCUAUAGAUUCAUGCAUAUCAUUAUUUUCUUCCAAAGCAACAAUCAUUCUUUCAAUAAAUUCUUGGACAUAGACAUUAUGAGCAAAGUUUUCAUUGCAAUAUUUAAGUAUGACGGAAUUUUCAAACUUGUUGAGAGUAAAAUCAUACUUUUCGAUCAAAGAAGCAACUUCAUGAGCACCCUUAAAAACGACAAAUUCUUCAAUUCAUUCGAUAUCAUAGUAACUAUAAACACCCUUUGCAUAAGAAGAUAAGAUUUCAUUAUCAUUGAACAAACAUAGGUAGGCAAGGUGUUUUUUAGGGUUCUUAGAGCAACAAGUAAAAUCACAAAUUUCACAAAGAUUCCAAGCAUAGCAUAGCAAAAUAUUUAUAUGAUACGAUAAGACCUUCCCUCUUUCAGACAAACGAUGACGCACAAAAUGAGCAUGGUCAUCUAAAGAUUUCCCAUCAACUAGGCUAGUUGGGGUUUCAGCACGAGCGCAUAAGGAUAGAAGAUGAUCCAAGUAGAACACUUUAAGUGGAUCCAUAUCAAUAGAUUUUCACCAAGCGAAGAUGCAAGCAUAUAGAAGGCACAUGGAGACACGAGCAAACAAAAAGACAAGCAAAAGAGAGGAGAUUGGGAAAGAGAGGGCGAAUAAAACGGCAAAGGUGAAGUGGGGGAGAGGAAAACGAGAGGCAAAUGAUGUAAAUGCGAGGGAGAUGGGUUUGUGAUGGGUACUUGGUAUGUCUUGACUUGAACGAAGACCUCCCCGGCAAUGGCGCCAGAAAUCCUUCUUGCUACGUCUUGAUCUAGCGUUGGUUUUCCCCGAAGAGGAGAGGGUGAUGCAGCAAGUGUAGCGUAAGUAUUUCCCUUAGUUUUGAGAACCAAGGUAUCAAUCCAGUAGGAGGCUCCUCAAAAGUCCCACGCACCUACACAAACAAACUGAGAACUCGCAACCAACGCAAUAAAGGGGUUGUCAAUCCCUUCACGGCCACUUAUGAAAGUGAGGCCUGAUAGAGAUAGUAUGAUAAGAUAAAUAUAUUUUUGGUAUUUUAUAAUAUAGAUGCAAAAAGUAAAGAUGCAAAUAAAAGUAGAUUGAAAGCAAAUAUGAUAAGAGAUAGACCCGGGGGCCAUAGGUUUCACUAGAGGCUUCUCUCGAGAUAGCAUAAGUAUUACGGUGGGUGAACAAAUUACUGUCGAGCAAUUGAUAGAAAAGCGCAUAGUUAUGAGAUUAUCUAGGCAUGAUCAUGUAUAUAGGCAUCACGUCCAUAACAAUUAGACCAACUCCUGCCUGCAUCUACUACUAUUACUCCACACAUCAACCGACUCCUGCCUGCAUCUAGAGUAUUAAGUUCAUAAGAACAUAGUAAUGCAUUAAGGAAGAUGACAUGAUGUAGAGGGAUAAACUGAUGCAAUAUGAUAUAAACCCCAUCUUGUUAUCCUAGAUGGCAACAAUACAAUACGUGUCUUGCAACCCUUUUUGUCACUGGGUAAGGACACUGCAAGAUUGAACCCAAAGCUAAGCACUUCUCCCAUGGCAAGAAAGACCAAUCUAGUAGGCCAAACCAAACUGAUAAGUCGAAGAGACUUGCAAAGAUAACUCAAUCAUACAUAAAAGAAUUCAAAGAAGAUUCAACUAUUAUCCAUAGAGAAAUCUGAUCAUAAACCCACAAUUCAUCGGAUCUCGACAAACACACCGCAAAAAGAGAUUACAUCGAAUAGAUCUCUACAAGAGAGGGGGAGAACAUUGUAUUGAGAUCCAAAAAGAGAGAAGAAGCCAUCUAGCUAAUAACUAUGGACCCGUAGGUCUGUGGUAAACUACUCACAACUCAUGGGAGGGGCAAGGAUGUUGAUGUAGAGGCCCUCCGUGGUCGAUUCCCCCUCCAGCAGAGUGCCGACGAAGGCUCAAAGAUGGGAUCUCGCGGAUACAUAAGGUUACGGCGGUGGAAAUUGUGUUUUGUGGUGCUCCUGGAUGUUUUCGGGGUCCGUAGGUACAUAUAGGAGGAAGAAGUACGUCGGUGGACGCCCGAGGGUCUCACGAGACAGGGGGCGCACCCUACAUGGGGGGCCCUAUCUCGUGGGGUCCUCGGGAGCUUCUUGACUUGCACUCCAAGCUCUCCGGAUGUUGUUCGUUCCAAAAAUCACGCUCCCGAAGGUUUCAUUCCGUUUGGACUCCGUUUGAUAUUCCUUUUCUUCGAAAUACUGAAAUAGGCAAAAAAACAACAAUAUGGGCUGGGCCUCCGGUUAGUAGGUUAGUCCGAAAAAUGAUAUAAAUGUGUAGAAUAAAGCCCAUAAACAACCAAAAGGGGUAUUAUAAUAGCAUGGAACAAUCAAAAAUUAUAUAUACGUUGGAGACGUAUCACUCCAUGAGCCAGGGGAGGCGACUCUGGAGACGCUCCACGACGAAGCCCCAGACGCCGGGCUCACGGGGCGCAAGAUCCCCGCAGACUGUGCCGACGGGAGCCGCAGCAAGUCGGGCUCCCAGCCGGACACUGUACCAGAACCUCCAAAGGCUCUGGAUUCGGGCAGGCAGCCCCUCGCUAAGGAGGGCGAGCCAUCCGUGCCGAUGACUUCCGAUACGCCAAAGUCGUCAGAUAGUCUGCUGGAAGCGCUUCGCGGCGCUUCCAUGGAUGAAGAGCACCGUCCUCUUAUGAGUGCGGUGAUUCAGAAGGUUCUGUCCGCCAAGAGCGGACUAACCGAGGCUUGCACCAGCCUUCUAACAGGCUUUGAGGUAAGUAAUCAAAAUGUGUGAAGUUAUCACCCGAUAAGUAGUAGCCCCUGAUACUCUGUUUGGUGUUCGAAGUGAAAAGCCAAACGGAGGGUCAAUUAUAAUCCGUAGGAGUUUAAUAGUAGGUGUGCAUGAAAACAGGCAGUGCUGGUUGGUACUGCUGCCCGCACGGCCAAGGUCGCCGGACUCAAACGGGACCUGGAGCAGGCCCAUGUAGUGCUCGACCUCACGAAGAGGUGGCUCGAAGAUAACAAAGGUGAGUAAUACCCCAUUCACAUAUCACAAAGAAUAGAAAAAAUUGGUGACCCUAAGAAAGCGUCAUGAUUUUGCAAUAGGGGCCAUGACCGAAGUGGCGUCCCUGAAAACAGCGCUAUCCGAGGCCAAAAACAAGGCGGCCGUGGAGCGCGUUGAGUGUGAAAAGCAGAAUGCUAGGGUGGGCGAGGAACAGCAAGAGCUCCAGGAGCUCGGCAAGAAGUUUGAGUCUUUGGAGCGUGACUUCGAGACGAAGGAGUGAGCAUGAAAGACGCCAAGGCCGAAGCCGAAAAGGCCCAGCAGGAAAUCCAGGCGGCCAAGAAGAUAGCGGCGGGUAAGACAUUUUUUAUGCAAAGCAAACAUGUGGAGGAGGCGUUUCUUUUACUUACCAGAAUACGGAGCUUCCCCAGGGGCAUUCGCAGAUCUACCAUGCAGCAUAUCGGAUGCAGCGGAGUUCUAUCGUGUCGGAGAGGGGAGCUCAAUGGAAAAGCUGUUCUGGUCCCAGUAUGCGGGAGCCGAACACUCGUCGCCUCUGAGUGACCAAUUGAAGCAACUGGUUGAACUCCACAGGGCGGCCGAAGUGGCUAUGAAGAAUUUCAUAGUCCGGAUGUGGCCUGGUGAGCCCUUGCCUGCCAGCUACUUUGGUCUGAUAAAGCGGAUGGUGAAUGCCUAUCCGCGCCUGGAAGUGAUCAAGCGAUCCGUUUGCAUUGAGGGUGCCCGCCGAGAAUUUGCUCGUGCGAAGGUGCAUUGGGGCAAGCUUGAUGCGGAGAAGCUGGUGAAGGAUGGACCGCCAGAGGGCAAGGCGCAUCAUUGUCCCGAAAAAUAUUAUGAUGGUGUUAUGAAAGGUGCUCGCCUCGUGACCGAUGAAUGUACCAACGACACGAUCUUGGAGUGAAUGUACUUUUGUCGUUUUUGUAAUAUAAAGACGAAGUUACUUGCGCUAUGUAGCGCUUACUGAUUUAAAAUAUAACCUUCUCUGCGGCUGUUUAUAAAAUUCUGAAAGUAGGCCAGUCAUCGGCUUCCGCCCCCAUAUAACUAGUAUCGGGGUGUUCCUGGAAAUCCCUCACUCUUUAUCCAAAUAUUUGGUCCCUAAAGGAGGUGUUUGGCGCAGCGAACAAGGCAAUCGGACUAUGCGGCUUUAUAACUUUCACUUAGCCAUAGAAGUCUAUAAUUUUAAAUUUCGGCGAAGCCCCUAGAAUUCGGAGGGCCAAAUUGGGGCGCUAUAUACGCCUAAAUCGGACGAUGCCGAUUCCUCGCCUAAAGCGGAAAAAUCUUUAAGGAUUUUAAGACCUCUGGAACAGCGACCAGCUCUCGCCGCAUCAUGCAGACAGUUUUCGGCUUUCUCUACUGAGGUGCUCGUUCGGAAGAACCGGAACACAAUCGUAGUAGCUCUCCCUGCGCUACCUUAGCCGAUAUAACAGAACGUAAGGUACCAAAACAAGGGACCGGGCUAACCCAACUAUUGACCCAAGACAUGAUUCGGAGCUGAUGCAUAUAAUGCUAUAAGUUCGGGGUGCCGCACUGUCAAAAGUGUUCGGACUUACCUUGCCGUAUUAAGGGGCGACGUAAGAAGCCCCUGGCAAACUAAACGUACCAAAGUGUACGGAUGCAAUAGUAAAUAAACAUUUAUGGAAAAAAUGUGCAGCUAGGAAUAAUAAGCUGACGCUGUAUAUAAUCUCCCAUUGAUGUACAAUACGUCUAACCGUAUGUUUACAAUGAAUGCAUUAAGCAGAGGUAAAUAGGACUAUUUGACAUGUCCUAUUCAAGGGCAGGCCGCAUAUAGGUAUAUAAAACAGGUGUUAAUGAUCGUGAAUAAAUUCCACCUGAGUAUUCCCUUUGUGCGCGACGCCUUUUGCCUCCUUGGAUUUCUCUCCUGUGGAAGUCCGACAAUCCGGCUAUUCUGAAGAGGCUGACGGAAAGCAGGUUCCUGAAAGAUAAAGGGGGUUAUUAAAGUAUGUUGCGGCUGAACCGCACUGUUGACUGUGCCACUAUUGCGCCUCCGCCUAUGCCCAUGGUAUUUUGAGUGCGUAAUUGUGUGCGCGCGGCAUGAAUGCUGCCUUAGUAGGGCUGGAGCGGAGGACGGACUGCUAGUCGCGCUCUUGGCGUGCCUGGCGAUCCUCCUGCGGGGUACUUCUGACUCGCUUGACGGUGUUCAGAGUUGUUGUCGCCAGAUUGGUGGUUUGCUGGGGGAAGCUGCUUUGUACUUCUGCCGCGAGGGCUGCAGUAUGCUCUUCUGUAUGGAGAGAGCGAUCCAUGUUUCCGUUGAUUGUUAUGACCCCGCGAGGUCCUGGCAUCUUGAGCUUAAGGUAUGCAUAGUGUGGUACCGCAUUGAAUCGAGCUAAUGCGGUUCGUCCAAGUAGUGCGUGAAGCUGCUACGGAAAGGGACGAUGUCGAAGAUUAACUCUUCGCUUCGGAAGUUAUCCGGAGAUCCGAAGACCACCUCCAGUGUUAUGGAGCCCGUGCAGCGGGCCUCUACCCCUGGAAUUACACCUUUAAAGGUAGUUUUGGUGGGCUUGAUCCUUGAAGGGUCGAUGGCCAUUUUGCGCACUGUGUCCUGAUAAAGCGGGUUCAGGUUGCUGCCUCCGUCCAUAAGGACUCGUGUGAGGUGAAAUCCGUCAAUUAUUGGGUGGAGAACCAAUGCGGCCGAACCGCCGUGACGGAUGCUGGUAGGGUGAUCCCUACGAUCAAAGGUGAUCGGACAGGCUGACCAUGGGUUGAACUUCGGGGCGACUAGCUCCAUCUCAUAGACGUCCGUCAGUGCUCGCUUUUAUUCCCGUUUGGGAAUGUGGGUAGCGUAGAUCAUGUUGACCAUUUUCACCUGGGGGGAAAUUUCUUCUGUCCCCCCGUGUUCGGACGCCGGGGCUCAUCAUCAUCAUCGCUGUGCAGCCCCUUGUCCUUGUUCUCGGCAUUUAUCUUGUUGGCCUGCUUGAAAACCCAGCAGUCUCUAUUAGUGUGAUUUGCUGGCUUAUCCGGGGUGCCGUGAAUUUGGCAUGAGUGGUCAAGUAUGCGGUCCAGACUGGACUGUCCCUGAUUGUUUUUUUUUGAACGGCUUUUUCCGUUGACCGGAUUUUGAGCCACUGAAUCCGGCAUUGACUGCCGUGUCUUCAGUGUUAUCGCCAUUGUUCCGACGCUUAUGUCUGUUACGCCGUGGCUUGCCAUUAUUGUCGCGGACGUCUGAAGUGCCUGAGUUUUCUGGCGUGGUGCUGUUGUGAGCCAACCAGCUAUCCUCGUCUGCGCAAAAGCUUGUCAUGAGUGUCGUGAGGGCCGCCAUGGAUGUUGGUUUUUCCUGGCCGACGUGCCGGGCAAGCCACUCGUCGCGGAUAUUAUGCUUAAAGGCUGGCAGGGCUUCGGCAUUCGGACAGUCGACAAUUUGAUUCCUUUUCGUUACGAACCGAGUCCGGAAUUUUCUGGCUGACUCUCCGGGCUGUUGGAUAAUGUGGCUCAAGUCAUCAGCAUUCGGUGGUCGCACGUAUGUGCCCUGGAAGUUGUCGAGGAAAGCGUCCUCCAGGUUUUCCCAACUGGCAAUGGAAUUUGCCGGCAAGCUAUUUAGCCAGUGCCUGGCUGGUCCUUUGAGCUUAAGGGUAAGAUACUUGAUGUCGUGUAGAUCGUCUCCGCGGGCCAUGUGAAUGUGGAGAAGGAAAUCUUCAAUCCAUACUGCGGGGUCUGUUGUGCCAUCGUAUGAUUCAAUGUUAACGGGUUUAAACCCUUCCGGGAAUUCAUGAUCCAUUACUUCAUCAGUGAAGCAGAGGGGGUGUGCGGCGCCUCUGUGCCGGGCUAUGUCACGACGCAGUCCGACUAAGCCUGGUCGGUUGUGUUCGGCCCGGCCGGAUUUAUUGUUAGUGUAUCCGGUAUGACGGUCAUCGUCAUGUGCUGUGGCGUGCCCCCGUGAUCCGUAGAUUGGUCUUGGUUGUCCUGCGUUGUUUUCCUUUCUGUCUUGCAGGUCCUGUGUAUUGCCUUGAGCCGUAGUAAACUGGCGUGGGGGUGCGGGCUGGUAUUUGGGCUGAUAUGCCGUUUUAUCCCGGCCAUGAGGUGGUCGGUCAGCCGUGUGACGCUCAAGUCCAUAUUCCUCGGCUUCCAGGACUUCUGUCCAUCUGUCUGUGAGCAGGUCUUGAUCAGCUAGAGCUGUUGCUGCUUCUUUUUCAGGCUCCUCGCAGUGGCCAUAAGCCGGCGCUUGAAGCGCUCCUCCUCCACGGGGUCCUCAGGCACACUGAACUCGUCGUCGCCGAGGCUAAUCUCGUCUUUGGAGCGGGGGCAUGUAGUUGUCCUCCUCCGGAUACCCGUCCAUCGCUUGUUCGUCUGGGCUGACCUGUCCGUCUUCCUGCUCGGCCUGCUCGAAGGCAGGCUGGUCGGGGUUGUAUUCAUCUUCGGCACCGUCCGAAUUGUUUUCGUCUCCAGUGCCGGUAUUGCUGUACCGGGGCUUGGAGCGGCGCUGGCGACGCCCAUGCUUCGCUUUCUUCUUUGAGGGGUUAUCCUCCAUUGCCUCAUCAUCAUUGGUUUCUUUCGGAGUGUCCACCAUAUAUAUGUCAUAUGAAGAGGUGGCUGUCCACCAUCCCGUGGGUGGUGGUUCCUGUUCUUCUCCUACACCGUCGUCCAAACCAUCGAUGUCUUCGGAGUCGAAGUCAAGCACGUCAGUCAAAUCAUCGACCGUGGCUAUGAAGUGCGUGGUGGGUGGGCAACGAAUUCCCUCGUCGCCAGCUUCCCACUCGAGCCGGACAUAGUUCGGCCAAGACUCUCCUGACAAAGAGAGAGACUUUAACGAGUUUAGCAUGUCGCCAAAGGGCGAGUGCUGGAAGAUAUCCGCAGCGGUGAACUCCAUUACCAGAGCCCAACCAGGUUCAGCGGGCUCGGAGGUGUGCGGACUAGAACCUACAGCCAGAUACGAGUCCGGGGGUCCGGUGUCACAUGCUUCCUUGGGGGUGAAGUCUGUGUUCGGCUCUACCGCCGAUGGGUGUGCCGCCUCCGGGGCGGGGUCCAUCCACCCGUCCUCGGGCGACGCAAUCUGCCAUGGAUUUAGGUCCGGGGCUCCUGCAGGGGCGAUAUCCCGAGCGUUGUUCGUCAGCAGGUCUAAGCCGUGCCCAUCGUGACUGUCCGGUGCUCCUGGCAUAGGCCCGAAUCCGUUGAAGAUCAAGUCUCCGCGGAUAUCGGCCGUGUAGUUUAGGUUUCCGAACCUGACCUGAUGGCCAGGGGCGUAGCUGUCGAUCUGCUCCAGAUGGCCAAGCGAAUUGGCCCGCAGUGCGAAGCCGCCGAACACAAAGAUUUGUCCGGGGGAGAAAGUCUCACCCUGGACCGCGUUGUUGUUGAUGAUUGAAGGAGCCAUCGAGCCUUGCAUCGACGACACAGAGGAACUCUCAAUGAAACCAGCAAUGUUGGUGUCAAAACCGGCGGAUCUUGGGUAGGGGGUCCCGAUCUGUGCGUCUAAGGCUAAUAGUAACAGGAGGCAAGGGACACAAUGUUUACCCAGGUUCGGGCCCUCUCGAUGGAGGUAAAAUGCUACUGCCUGCUUGAUUGAUAUUGAUGAUAUGAGUGUUACAAGAGUUGAUCUACCACGAGAAAGUAGAGGCUAAACCCUAGAAGCUAGCCUAUGAUGAUUAUGAAUGUUGUAAUCAUCCUCAUACCGACUAAACUCUCCGGUUUAUAUAGACACCGGAGAGAGCUAGAGUUUACAUGGAGUCGGUUACAAGGAAGGAAAUAUGAUAUCCGAAUCACCAAGCUUGUCUUCCAUGCAGUAUUGAGUCUUGUAUCUUCACGUCCAACAGUCCGGCCAAAGUAUAUAGUCCGGCUGUCCGGAUACCCCCUAAUCCAGGAAUCCCUCAGCGGCAACAGGUGUGGCCGCUGCUACCAGUGCGGCAAGCGCGGCCAUUUCAAGAGGGACUGCCCGAAGCUGCGGAAGGCACCGGCGGCGGAGCAGGCGCUGCUGGCGAACGUCGACGUCGAUGACAACGGCCUCCUCUAGGCCACGACUUAGGUGGAGAGUGCUGGGCAAUAAGCCGCGGCGAGCCCGGGGCGCGGUGUGCGCGUGGGUGCGUGUAGUGGCCGCGUCCGGUUCGGCCCGUGGCAGGGCUCGGGUGCGUGCGUGCGCGACCGAGCGUAGGAGUGUGUGUGCGUGAGCUAGCGUGUGUGUGUGUGGGGCCAUGCAGGUCUGUUAGCUAGGAUCCAGGGGAGUAGACCGCGCCGGGCGCGCGGCGAGGCCGUGGCGAUCGCGUCCGGGCGCGAUGAGCGGGUGCAGCAGACCGCGCGGGACGUGGGUGAGUGGGGGAGCGAGUGGGUGCGAGACGAGGCCCGGCAUGUUAGUGCUCGCAGGUAUAAGUCCCCCUCUCCUCUGUGUAGCUGAUUGACACGUCGAGUUCGUGCUCGAGGGGAAGAAAAGGGCGUUCGUGCGCCGGCAAAACUCCAUUGUCCACUGCCUCCUCCGAUCUUCUUCUUCCUCCUUCUUCUGUCGUUUGAGCGCAGAGAGAGAGCGAGGUAGAGCUAGGGCAAGCUAUGGUUCGGGGGGGGAGAGCCACGGCAACAACAAGGAGACACAUGGACGACAUGAAGCAUGCGCAUGCCCACACUAGCCAGCAGAAGUAGAUAAAUUGUAAGCCCACCCCAGUUGAGAGGCAUGGAUGACCUUGUAGCAUUAAUACUGCAACGAGUGAAAUAAAAGAUGUUUCCUUCUCAGUCUAUUCCCUCUAGCAACUGAAGAGCUCAUGAUCCCAAGGCGAAGAACUGAUGACUAUUAGCAAACAAUGAGCCAAUGACACUAGGAAGUAUCGGGAAAUCAUCUCAAGAGGUCCAAAUUCAAACAUUAACCAAAUGUUUCGGUGUUGGAGUAACUAAAGAUGCUGCUGCUACACGGGAACAUUUUGUACAAUUGACCAUCAUGGCAGUGUAAUAAGUUUUCAUAUUUCAGUUAUCUUAUUCAUUGUUACUCUCCAAACUUAAUCAUGGCGGUGCAAUAAGUUAACCUAUUUCAGUUAUGUUGUUCAUUGUUAGAAUAUUCCAAGUUAAUCAAGGCAUUAUAAUAAGUUUGUAAAUUCUUCAUUUACAAAGCUGGAAAAUGGUGUGAAUUAUUGUGUUGUAGAGCGGGUUGACAAGCCUUGGCCUCUGGUUCUUUAGAGAUGUUUGUCCAAGCUGUGAGAAAUAUUCCAUGAGCAGAAUUGUGGAUGGGUACUUGACAAGCAGCAGUUUGAGCAACAGUUGUCCAAGCUAAAGAUUGAAAAUGACAAGCUUUGCUUACUGCCUCCCGGACAAAGUCGCGCACGAUGGACUCCGCCCGCGGGCAGGUCCGCCGGUAGAAGUCAAACGACAGGCCACGCGCCACGGGAGGCUGGGCCGCAGAAGCCACAUGCCCAAGCGAGCUGGCCACUACCACCGCCACCGCCACCACAAGUGCUACUAGGAGAGGAGCACGAGCCAUGUCGAUCUCUCCGUGUGUGUGUCCGGGCUGCUACGUUUUUUUGUCUUUACUUUGCUGAUCAGGAUAUCAAUUUGUAGGCAGGAUUCAAGGGUAGCACACCACUUGAUUACUCAUCGUACAAGGAUCAACAAGUGUGUGACGUCAAGUAGUUCCAACUAAGGAUUGGAAUAGGUGACAUGACAUUGCCAAGGUGCCAAUCCGCCAUUCCUGUCGAUUGCUUACUGCCACGCAUGAGGGUCAUCACGCCAUAGAGUACACUUGACAUGGACAAACAUGCUGAUUUCGAGCGAAAACCCACGGCACCUCCAUCUAUAGACGCAAUUGGUUAUGGGAAAGGCUACGCGUGCCGUCGUAGACAAAUCACAGCGUGUUUGUUAUAGUCCAGUAAUGGAACUAUUUACAUUUUCUGGGAACGUCCAAAAAUAAGUGUCGAUAAAUCAUUUUGAGAGUAAAGAAUGUAUGGAUUACUCAGACCCACUACUUAAUAAAAUCAACGGCUCAGAUCUAUUAUAUAGCCUUGCUCUCAUAUAUGAUAAGAGGAGUUAGGAGAAACCAUGUUGAAACUGCUUUGUGUGUUGAAAGUGUGGAUGAGUUCGGAAAAAUUAUAAUCUCAGUUGCUUCAAGGGGUUCAUUGUCAGGAACUUGCAUAUAUCUCUCUCGAUCUAAGGAUUCAUGGCAGGAUGAGCUAAGAAUUUGAAUUAGAUAGAGGAAUUCCUCCCAACCACCCACACCUCUAUCCGAGUACAAGACCGGCCUCAGCCAUCCAAAUCCUAGCCAAACCGAGACGAGGGCGUCAACGGCUAUUUGUAAACGCGUACACCCGCUCAGCGGGCCCAGUUUGGGCUUGCAAGUCACUGGGGAGGCCUCUUGGGCCGAGUUGACUUGGGCCUGUCUUGAUUCACUGUAGACGUCAUGCGUUUGUCGACAGCUGCCGCGCCCUGUUCACCAUCCAGCUUGCCAGGAGUGCCGUUGCUGGCCAUUGGGUCGCUAACACCCCCCUCCGUUGAGAAGCGGCUUGUCCCCAAGCCGGUGCACGGGGAAAUUGUUGAGGAAGAGAAUCGAUGUCAUUCCACGUAGCUUCUUCCAUCGAAGUGUCGCUCCACUGUACAAGUCCUUGAGCAAUGGUACGUUUGCCACUUUAAAGUACACGCUUCUGCAGAAUCUUGACAGGAACCUGCAAAUGGCCAGUAGCACAAGGAAGCACUUUCUGGAUUGUGCAGUCAGGAUGGACAACCUGUCUAAGUUGCGAGACAUGAAAAACGGGAUGUAUUUUACUGCCCGGUGGGAGUGCCAGUCGAUUAGCCACUUCUCCAAUCUUCUCCAGAACCUCAUAAGGGCCAAAAUACUUGAAAGCAAGUUUGUGGUUGGAUCGAUGCACAACUGAUGACUGAACAUAAGGCUGAAGUUUCAGACACACUUUAUCUCCCACUGCAAAAUGCCUUUCUCUUUGAUGCUUACCUGCCUGACUUUUCAUGCGUUGUCGUGCUCUCAGGAGGUGUUGCCUGACAGAUUCCACUACUGCCUGUCUUUCUUCCGGCCACACUUGGAUAUCCACAGGAGCUAUAGAGUCUGGUGCAGAUAUACCAAAAAAUCGUGGAAGGUGCCCAUAGAGCACUUCAAAGGGGGAUUUACCCACAGCUGAAUGCCAGUUAGUGUUAUACCAGAAUUCACACAUAGAGAACCACUUGCUCCAUUUCGCAGGGUGAGAACUGAUAAAGCUGCGAAGAUAACCUUCCACUUGUUGAUUCACUCGCUUUGUCUAUCCAUCCGUAGCUGGGUGAUAUGCAGAGCUCAUAUUGAGGUGAGCACUAGUUCUUUUAACAAGUUGUUGCCAAAAAGAGCUAGUGAAUAUAGCAUCUCUGUCUGACACAAUAGUUGCUGGCAUUCCAUGCAAUUUGUACACAUUGUCGAAGAAAAUGUUAGCAACUUUAUAAGCAGUGUAGGGGUGUUUGAGGGCCAUAAAGUGAUCAUACUUAGUAAACUUGUCAAUAACCAGCAGGAUGCAGUCAUAUGAGAAAGACGAGGGCAAUCCUGUGAUAAAGUCCAUGGUAAAAGAUUCCCAGGCCUGUUUAGGAAAUGGCAGAGGUGAGAGAAGUCUUGGAUAGUUAACUCUCUCUACCUUAGAUUGCUGACAAGUCAUGCAAGAUUACACUUUAUGUUUAAUGAAUUGCUUCAUGCCAACCCAUCGAAAGAGUGAGUGUAUUCUUCUGUAAGUGACAGGAAAUCCUGAAUGCCCCCCCCCCCCCACUGGACUACCAUGGAAUGCAGAGAAUACUUUGGCAUGCAAUUCAGGAUGAUUACCAAUCCAUAUACAUCCCUUAUACCUAAUGAUCCCUUGGAUUAAUUGGUAGUUAGGUUUUGCCUUUGGAUCAACAGAAAGCUGUUGCAAUAGUUUAGUUGCCUUAUCAUCAUUUCCAUAACUGGCAAUGAUUUCUUCCAUCCAAACAGGCUGAGCUCUGAAUAUACUAAGCACUUGUGAAUUGGGCCUUCUGGAUAAAGCAUCGGUAGCUGAAUUUUCAACCCCCUUCUUGUACACAAUCUGAUAGUUAAGGCCCAUCAAUUUUGUAAGAGCCUUCUGCUGCCAAACUGUGUGAAGUUUCUGGUUCUGCAGAUGAACCAACCUCUUCUGAUCAGUUCUAAUAGUAAACUGCUACACAUGCAAAUAAGCUUUCCAUUGUUCCACUGCAAGGAGAAUGGCCAUGUAUUCUUUUUGAUAUACAGAUAGAGCCCUGCUUUUUGGUCCAAGGGCCUUGCUGACAUAUGCUAGGGGAUGGCCUUCCUGCAUGAGCACAACUCCAAUCCCUACAUCACAAGCAUCUGUUUCAAUAACAAAAUGUUUCUCAAAAUUAGGGAGAGCUAAAACUGGUGCUUCCACAAGGGCCUUCUUCAGAACAAUAAAUGAUUGUUCUAUAACUGGAGUCCACACAAAAGGAACUCCCUUCUCGAGCAACUCUCUCAAGGGCCUGCAAAUGAUGCCAUAAUGCUUAAUAAAAUUUUUGUAAUACCCACUGAGCCCUAGAAGUCCUCUGAUCUCCUUAAAAUUCUCAGGAAGUGGCCACUGUUGUACUGUCUGAAGUUUACUGGUCCACUUGUCUACUGUCCACUUGUCUAGAUGCUUACAAGCUAGCCAAGCCUUUCAGCGGCUGCAUCGACGAUGGUCUGCACAAGGGACGGCCACUGGAGCGCGCCGGCGGCAGGGCCGGGGUUGCCGGCGGAGCAGUUCCGUCGGACCUCUCCCAGGUCGUUGGUGCGCACCCUCAUCUGGCCCAUCUUGCCAAUGGACACGCCGAACUACUCGAAGAAGUCCCGCUGGCUCCGCGCAAAGCGCUCGACGAUGGGCCGGGUGAUGUCGGUUGUGAAGAGGACCUUGUCGGAGAAGAACAACCCCUCCCGGUUCACCAGGUCGACAUAGUACUGGUUGUCGAACACGUUGGGCGUGCGCAUGUCCAGCACGGUGCAUCGGUCGGUGCCCCUGACAGGGCACAUCCCUUUCAAUCUGGCAAGGAAGAGGGCACUACUAGGAAAAGGGCUAUAGCUAAUAUGGACAUUAAUGGCGCACCACAAAUGUGGUGCACCACUGCUAUAUAGCAGUGGCGCAUCAUAUAUAGGUACGCCAUUAAACUCCA